rnacentral:lncRNA from 1 species
AUCUCUCUUAAAUAGAUAGCCAGCUGGCUAGAGAAACUCACAAAUGAAAUUAUCUCUUUUAUUAGUGGGAAGCUACAUUCUAUGAUUACAUUUUUUUUUUUUGGGCAGAACUUGCCUACACCAUGGUUAUGACGGAGAAAUGUGAUGUUUAUAGCUUUGGAGUGGUGACGCUUGAAGUAUUAAUGGGAAAGCAUCCAAGGGACCUUCUUUCAUCAUUGUCAUCAUCAUCUGAUCCAAAAAUCAUGUUGAUUGAUGUUUUAGACCAACGUCUUCCACCUCCAGUUGAUCAAAAGGUUAUUCAAGAUAUCCUUCUUGCUUCAACAAUUUCAUUUGCAUGCUUGCAAUCGAACCCAAAGUCUCGACCUACAAUGCAAUAUGUGUCUCAAGGAUUUCUCAUCACUCGCAAGACUCCAUUGGUAAAGCAUGCUGCUAUUCAAGAUAUUUCCAUCUCAGAACUUAGAAACUAAUAUGCUGCUAUUCAAGAUAUUUCCAUCUCACAACUUAGAAACUAAUAAAAGGAUGAUCAAUAUAAUUGCUAAUCUUAAAUGUAUUUCGUUGGUAGCAUUUUGUAAAACUUUGGUGAGGGUGAAUUUUGGUUUCAUGAAAGCGUUGCCUUUCUUGAAUAAAAAUGAAAGUAACUCUUCUAAAGUGAAAUUGGUGCUUCCAAUCUAAACUAUUAAAUCUUUAAUUAUUUUUUCUGUGUGAAUUGCAUGUGCAAAUAAGGUCAGCAAGUUUUGCUAUUGUGCUAAGUCAUAUUUGUUAUUAAUGUAUUGUAACUUUUAACAAAUAACUACUUUAGAACAAAAAUGUAAUUAUAAAAUAAAAGUUGGGAGUGUAUAAUCAAUAUAAAUUUUAACUAAUAAUUUUGACAAAAUAAUAAAAAUAUUAUAGGCUUAUCGUCGUACAAGUGUGAGAUCAAAUCAACAAACAAGAUACUCAAAGGCAACAAACAAGAGACAUGCAAAUUUAGUGAUCUCUGUUUGUGUGAGGCUAAGGGUCAAUUUUGGAAUUAUUGUUCAAAUAGUCAAAAUUGAUUGUUUGAAAAGCGACAAACGUGUGUGCGUUGCUGUUCGGUAAAUUAUAUUAAUUUGACACUUAAAAAUUAAGAAAAAAAAAAGAAUAUUCUGGAUUAAACCAACUUGGAGAGGUUGCACUUGUAAUAUCUAUUCUUAAAAAAUUAAAAAAAAAAAAAGAUAAAUUAUAUAGCCCGAAAAGACCUUGACUCCAAAAGUAGUCUCUACUUCAAUCUGUGGAAAAUUUUGAUACAAUUAAGUUCUAAAUUUUUCCACAAGAUAAUUGAUGUUGGUGGUACACGAUAAACACGUCUGCCUAGGUUUGUGGGAAAACUGGAAUAGAUUACAAAGACUGGAAUAAAUUAUAAUAAGGCUAAGCAAUAAGACCUGGUGCUCAAAUUCUAAAAGUAUUACAAAGACUUUUGGUACCUUCCUUAAAUUCACUUUAUACUUGAAUAGCCAUAUCUGUUCUUGUGAUUUCCUCAAGGAAAAAAGAUAAUAUGGAUCAUUUAACUCAGCCUUUUCAACUUUUGAUUUGCUUUCAGCUAUUGCACUUAUAUUUUCAGUUUUUUUUUUCAGAUUAAUUAGUAACAUACAGUAAUAUAUUCUAAUUUGGACACUGCUAGCUUCUUCUAGAUGAUUAAACAUGGAAUUGAGACAUCUUCUGCUCUGGGUUGUGGAACCAAAGUUACUCCUAUCGUUAUAAGCACUCAGUAUAGUUUGGAAUUUUACAAAACUGGCGACAAAUUCACCAAUUAACAAGUCUCCAUAACAAGAUUAUGAGCUAGUAUUAGUAACAAGACUUUGGCACUGCCAGGCUUCUGUAUGCUGAUUCGUCCAAUCGAACUCUAUUAGCAGGAACAUAUGGAUAUAUAGCUCCAGGUUUACCCUUAUGAUAUCUAUUCUUCUCAUGAUCGAUCCUUUAUUUGGUUCAAUUUUAUUUUAUUUUGCUUUAUAUUGCAGUCAUAUCCCAUAACAUCUCUCUUAAAUAGAUAGCCAGCUGGCUAGAGAAACUCACAAAUGGAGUUAUCUCUUUUAUUAGUGCUGCUGUACCGUACAUCCGCCUUGGCCGUACAGCAGAAUCCUAAUUCUCCAUUUUUGAAUUUGGGCGGCCAACAAAUAAAAUUAUUUGAAAACUACUCUACCCUGAGAGUUGCUAACCACCAGAAAAAUUAACAAAAAAGAAAUUUAAUUGAGGACAAUGAAAUAUCUAAACAAUAUUGUACACAAAUCGAACUCCCUCUGAAGGCCAGAGAAGACCUUGACUCACUAUUGUGUUUGAAAACGAGUGUUGCUAUUCAACGCGGGAAGAAGAUGAUUAUGGGCCUGCUCAUGGUGUCCUUUUCCUGGGUUAAAGUGUCUGUAUGAACUUUAUAACAACUUGGAGAAUCCAAUCAACCGAAAAGUUAAUUAUAAGCAUGGAUCCGGCAUCCUCCAUUUUCAGAUUGGCUUUCCUCACAUACUUUCGAUGCUUUUCCAAAAUCUUAAUGGCUUUCGAAGUCUUCAUCUUGAGUUGAAUUCCACCAAAUUUUCUCUUUUCAGGUUUCAUUUACACCAAAUUUUCUCCAUUAUCCAUUCGCAAAUGAAUAUUGAAUCACCUUAGGAAUGUGCAAAACCUGUGAAGUUAACAAAUCUUGGUUUGCAGACAAUUGAUUGUAAUCGACAAUUGAUUGUAGUCAGUUCCAAACUCUUUUCAUUAUCUUCUGAGAGCAACUUGAAUCUUUUAACUGAUGAAGAAGAUACUCAAAAAUACAAACAAGAGCAAUAAAUUAAUAACAAAGGCAACAAACAAGAGACAUGCAAAUUUAGAGUGCUCUCUCCGUGUGAAAUUAAAUAAAAUAAUUUACCGAACAAUAAUUCCAGAAUUAUAUAGCCCCGAAAGACCUUCACUUGUAACUAAAUUAUAUAGCCCCAAAAGACUCCAAAAGAAAUCUACUUCAAUCUUUGGAAAAUUUUGAUACAAGUUCUAAAUUUUCCACAAGAUAUCCCAAAGUGUAAUCUUAAAUGUAUUUCGUUGGUAGUAUUUUGUAAAACUUUGGUAAGGGUGAAUAUUGGUUUCAUGAAACCGUUGUCUUUCUUGAAUAAAAAUGAAAGUAACUCUUCUAUAGUGAAAUUGGUGCUUCCAAUCUAAACUAUUAAAUCUUUAGUUAUUUUUCUGUGUGAAUUGCAAGUGCAAAUAAGGUCAGCAAGUUUUAAUAUCGGUAAAUUAUAUUAAUUUGACACUUAAAAAUUAAGGAAAAAAAAAGAAUAUUCUGGAUUAAACCAACUUGGAGAGGUUGCACUUAUGUAAUAUCUAUCCUUAAAAAAUUAAAAAAAAAAGAUAAAUUAUAUAGCCCGAAAAGACCUUGACUCCAAAAGUAGUCUCUACUUCAAUCUGUGGAAAAUUUUGAUACAAUUAAGUUCUAAAUUUUUCCACAAGAUAAUUGUUGUUGGUGGUGUCUGGCUCGUUUUAGACGUUUAGAAAUUGUUAGAAAUUGUUAAGAAAAAAAAAAGAAUAUUCUGGAUUAAACCAACUUGGAGAGUUUGCACUUAUGUAAUAUCUAUCCUUAAAAAAUUUUAAAAAAAGAUAAAUUAUAUAGCCCGAAAAGACCUUGACUCCAAAAGUAGUCUCUACUUCAAUCUGUGGAAAAUUUUGAUACAAUUAAGUUCUAAAUUUUUCCACAAGAUAAUUGUUGUUGGUGGUGUCUGGCUCGUUUUAGACGUUUAGAAAUUGUUAGAAAUUGUUAAGAAAAAAAAAAGAAUAUUCUGGAUUAAACCAACUUGGAGAGUUUGCACUUAUGUAAUAUCUAUCCUUAAAAAAUUAAAAAAAAAAGAUAAAUUAUAUAGCCCGAAAAGACCUUGACUCCAAAAGUAGUCUCUACUUCAAUCUGUGGUGUACACAAAAUAUAAAUUAUUAACCAAAUUUUUUAUUUUUUGAUUAUUUUUAUCGCCAGAAUGACACAAAAUAUAAAUUUAUAGGGUAGAAAAUAACAAAACAAAUAAAAAAUUAUAGUACUAAUUAUUUUACAAUGGUAAUUCUGUCAAUUUGAUAGAUAAUUGAUACAAAUAGUAAACUUAAGGUGAAAAAUAAAAAAUUGAAUAAAUUUAAAUUUUCAAAGUAUUUUUUUCUGUGUGAAUUGCAAGUGCAAAUAAGGUCAGCAAGUUUUGCUAUUGUGCUUAGGAAAUCUUCUUCCAUCCACAUUAUUUUUAUAAAUUAAUAUCGUGUGCAAUAAUUAUUGUAACUCAUGAGUUCUCAGAACUGUAAAUAAGAGUGGGAAUAUUUCCAUAUUGUGGCAUGACAUGGGCUUUUCUUCCCAAUCAAAUUUUAAAAAAUUUUGAAUUCUCUAUUUCACUAUUUAAUUGAGUAGACUGCAGAUAUAAAUGUAGACAAAUUAUUAGCCUAACUUCACAGAAGUUUCAUUGCAAGUCGUUUUGCAUUGGCGCAUAAGAGUGAUCAAUUGAAUAGGAACGGCAAUGUUGAAGUUGAUAUGAUAAAAGUGAAAAUGACUAGAUAUUCCGCAAAGUCUAAAAUUCAAGAAAUUGAAGCACCAAUCAAGUGAUCAAAUUCUCUCAUGUAAUUAAUUAUCAUCAAUUGGCUUGAAGGUCAUCAAGAAGUUACUGGAUUGACAAAUUAAAUUACAUUGCUCUUUCAUAAAUGGUAAAGAAAUAAAAUAUAAGACUUAGGUCAUGUUCAGUAUUUAGGUAUUGUAAUUUCUAAGUUAUAACCAUUGUGAAACAAAAGUUGUAACUAUAAAAUAAAAGGUGGGAGUGUAUAAUCAAUAUAACUUUUAACUAAUAAUUUUGAUUAAAAAAUUAUAAAGAUAUUAUAGGCUUCUCAUCAUAUAAGUGUGGGAUCAAAUCAACUUAACUUUUAUACCACAAUUGGCAGUACUGACUAUAUAAUUUUGUGCUAUAACUUAGAAAAUUAUAACUACCCAACAUCGAUACCAAACAAGACCUUAGUCUGCAAGCAUCUAUCAUUCCUUCCUUGUUUUAAAAUACUAGUCGUAUUAAGUCUUGAACUUGAAAUCAAUCUAACGGUACAGAGUUUUUUCCAAGUUCCAUCAGCAGCAAAUUUUCCUUUGCUUCCUCUGUUUCUUCAGAUAAACGCCACUAAAGAUAUCAAAAUUAUUGCUUGUUUGUUUCUGGAUUUUAGCUAUCGGUAUGAUACAUCCGCUGAGACCCCGGGUGCAUUUUUUCCUGCUCACUAACCAACCAAUAUGAAUUCUUGAAAAAGAACCAUAAAAAAAAAUGAUUCUUUUAUUCAUAUUUCUCCAGAGAGAAAGAAGAAACAAAUAAUUAAGAGCUGAAAUUAUGUAACAGUAAUUAUCAAGAAGUUAAAUAUGGCAAUACCUAAUAUACAAGUUACCUACGGUUGAUCACUUGUAAUAUUAUGAUACAAUUAUCUACGGUUAAUCCAUGCAUGGUUCACUUGUAAUUUAUUGUCUUUUUAUUUUAGUUUUUCAAUUAUUAUUAUUAAUAAUAUUUUAGUUUCUUUAGUAAAAGAGAGGAAUUAUUUAGUCCGGAAUCCUAGAAUUCGGACGCACGGUGGGUUCCAACAUAUAUGCAGUAGAUAAAUAAAGAGAGCAAAGGCUGUUGGAUUGCAAUACAGAGUUUUCUAGAUAAUUUCCUAAUAAAGUAUAUUUAUCUCAUCAUAAUUAGUUUUGGUGGUUUAUAAAUGUUGAAAGUGUAAAUUUUGAAAUUUCACCUACUUUUAAUUAAAUUUUAAAUAACCUAAGAUAAAUUUUCAUGAUCGAAAAAAGCAGAUAAUUAUUUGAGGAACCAUGUUAUGAUACAUUAUAAUGUAUCAUAUAUUAACCUAUUCCAACAAUGUAAAACUUGAUUCAAUAAAACUACGAUUGAAUUUACAAAAAUAACUUUUGGAUUUGAUGCAUCAUACAUUAUCAUUAUAAAUUAUCCUAGCAACAUCCUAAUUUAAUAAUCACUUUUAGAAUAAGUUUACUAUUUAUUUUUUGUAAAAAGAUUUUUUUUAUUCCUUUACAUACAAUAAAUAUAUAAUUUAUUCUAGCUCAACCAAAGAUGUCUAUUCUUAAAUGAAAUAAGAUUUCAUAAUGUCGUUAUCUAAAAUUUCUGAAUUAUUUAAGAGUAAAAUUAAUAAAAUAAUUUACACAAUUGAAUGCCAAUAAUAUUGUAAGGUUAUAUUUAUGAUAACGAUUAAUAAUCUCAUUAAUUUCUGAUAAAGUUAUAAAAAAUUAUUUAAAAAUUUAGAAAAGCUAUUACAAAUAGUUUUGUUUCUAAAGUUAAAUUUAUUUAUUUUUAAAUUAAAUGUAAAUUUUUAGGGAGAUAAUAAUAAAGUAAUUUAGAAAGGAAAAAUGAAAAGAAAAGGAAAGACGACCAUAACCGUUUGGACCUUAGCGGCUAGUUUGUCAGUAAAGCAACUGAGUCAAAAUUUUCUUUAAUCAACGAAACAACAGCACAACGACUUUUGAAGAAGGUAAGUGUAAGUUAUAUUACAUGUAACUUAAGGCUUCCAUUGAAGAAUUAAAACUCACUACUGUGCGCCACGUGUCGGCCUAUGUUCCUCUUUGUCGGUUACGUCGCUCUGCUCUCAACGAUCUUUGUGUUUUUCAUGUUUUAUUUUUUCGAAAGACUUAACGAUCUUUGUUUACUUUAUGUCUAAAGAGCAAGCUCUCCUCAACUCACAGCCGUUAGAUUAGAUUAUUUUAGCUAUUCGACGGCCAAAAAGGUAACAAGACUAAAAGUAAAGGGAGACGUUGUGGGAUCCGCUUGAAUGAUGGAAACCCGACACGUCGCUAUCAAAUUUCUUUUUAAAAUAUGUGGUGGUAGUUAAGUCCCUAAAUUUUUGAAACAUCAUAAGUAAAGACAUAUCUUGCAAAAAUAUUCAUAGAAGUCCUAUCCUUAGAAUUUGUUAAAGAAUCACAAGUAAAAUCAAUCAUUUAACCGUUAAAUAUUCGAAAAUCGGCUUACAGAUAAACUUAUUUAUCUCCAUGUUUUGAGAAACAUAUUAGUAAACUUUCAACAAAACUUGACAAUAUAUACGAUAUAAUUCAUAACAUAACUUACUAAUUCAACAUGAAAAUGAUAUAAAUUAAAUUAAUAAAUUUAAAUUAAUCUCAAAUUACACAAGUAUUAAUCUUAUAAAAAAUAUAUAAUUUAUUUACUAACAUGUUUGGCUUUAGAUUUUUUUUCAAUAUUAUAUAUGACAUGAUAACUAUGGUAAUAAUCAUAUAAGUCCUCAAUAAUAUUUAAAUAAAAAAUAUUAAACGGGUGAAAAUUAAAACAAAAUCCAAUUUAAAGAUAUGUUAAUCAUGCUUUUAUCAAUCGUGUGCUAAAUUAGUGUUUUAAGCUUUUUAGCUUGGCCGAACUUGUGCCGCCCAAAAUUUUCACGAGGAAGAAUACCAUAAAUAAUCCAACCUAAACUACUACAACAGGGACUCUGCAAAAAUAUUAUCUUUCACUUAUAACCUUUUAUUUAAAUUUUUGUAGACAUUAGGGACCUUCUUGCUAUUAUCUCAAAAGAAAUCAGGUUCUUCAAGCCUAUAAAUACAAAACCAAAACAAGAUAUAAUUUGGAGAAAAGAAGAUUCAUAUCACAAAAUCAAAAUCUCUCACACUCUUUAAGUUCUAAUACAGCGAUGGCGCAGGUUAGUAUUUGCAGAUCUGUGGCUUUGAUUCUCUUCAUUGCAGCAGUUCUCUUAAUGACAGCUAUCGUCAGUGCACAGGAUGUCGACCUGGCACCGUCGCCGAGCAUGGACGCCAGAGCUGCGUUCCCCGUGACUGUUUCCGCUGGCUUUGUUUGCUCCUUACUCUUCUUCUCAGUCAUUACUCUACUAUUGCAGUAAUAGGUUCUUGAGAGACUUGAGAGACUCAGAUUUUAUAUUUUAUAUUUUAUAUUUUAUUUUUAUUAUUAGGAUAUUUAUUACUUUUGAAAUUUUGGGUAUUUUUUUAAUUGCUAUUUGGUGGGAGUGCCGAGUCCAUGUGUUUGAGUUGCUGUGAGUGAGAAUAUUAGUUUUAAUAAUUCGAUUAUUUUUCCUCUAAUCUUUGGUUAGGAUUGUAUUUUCUUUUUAUUUUUUUUACGGUCUUGAUAUUAUAUUAUAUUUUAAUUAUAAAAAUUGGAUUUAUUAUUUAUCAUUUUGCUUCUCUCUUUAAGUAUAUUUAGAUGGUUAAAAUCUAAAGUUAAUUGAAAAUCUAUUGCAAAUUAAUAAUUCAAAAUCCGUGUCAUUAUUUUAAGGCAAAAAUUUAUCAAGAAAAAUUGAACUGGGAUAGUUUUAUGUAGUUUCAUACUUUCAAUUUCAAAUGGGCUGGUUUAAUAAUUAGACCAUCUACUUUCAUCAUACUUAUCUUGAAAUUCAAAUCUUUCCACACAUACUUUUUGUGCUUUUUCCAAAAUCUGAUUUGGAUUCAACCAUAUCUGUUUUUCUUUUUCUUUUUUUUUUUCAGGUUUCAUUUACACCAAAUUUUCUCCAUUAUCCAUUCGCAAAUGAAUAUUGAAUCACCUUAGGAAUGUGCAAAACCUGUGAAGUUAACAAAUCUUGGUUUGCAGACAAUUGAUUGUAAUCAGUUCCCAACUCUUUUCAUUAUCUUCUGAAAGCAACUUGCAUCUUUUGAGGUUAACUGAUGAAGAAGAUACUCAAAAAUACAAACAAGAAAUUAAAAACAAAGGCAACAAGCAAGAGACAUGCAAAUUUACAGUGCCCUCUCUGUGUGGGGCUAAUGGUCAAUUUUGGAAUUAUCGUUCGAAUAGUCAAAAUUGAUUGUUUGAAAUUAACUACAAACGUGCUGUUCGGUAAAUUAUUUUAUUUGACUUCAGCCCGAGAUAUAUUAAUUUGGCACUUAAAAAUUAAGGAAAAAAAAGAAUAUUCUGGAUUAAACGAAACUUGAAAAUUAAGAAGCUACACUUGUAAACCAAUUAUAUAGCCCGGAAAGACCUUGACUCCAAAAGAAAUCUACUUCAAUCUUUGGAAAAUUUUGAUACAAGUUCUAAAUUUUCCACGAGAUAUCCCAAAAUGUAAUUUUCAAACAAUUGUUGUUGGUGUUGUCGAGCUCGUUUUAGACGUUUAGGAAUUGUUAGAACUCGUAUAAGGACAAUGACUUCUUGAGUCAUGAAUCAGUCUUCGUUUACUGAUUAUUUGAUUAUUUUUAUUGCCACAAUGACACAAAUUACCAAUUUAUAGAGUAGAAAAUAACUUGUCAUGAAUAGAAGAAGACCAUUUAUUUAUACAUGGAAUUAUGGAUUAAUAAAAGUCUUUGCUCCUCCAAAACCAAUUUUUAUUGAUUAUUUUAUUAUUUGAUUAUAUAUGUUGGACCAAAAAUAAAAUAAGCCUAAUAAAACCCAAAUAAAUUUAAUCUCAAUAAGGCUCAUUUAAUAAAUUUUCUCUCAAUUAAACGCACAAAGUGCUGGACAAAUCACCUAAAAUGAUCCUCCUAAUUAAUAAGAUUUUAAAGCCCAAAAGAUGUCAACAAUAAUAAUAAUAGUAUUUAAUUUUUUUUUUUUGGUGGAUGAUUGAUACCAAUUAUAAACUUAGAAUAAAAAAAUUGAAUGAAUUUAAAAUUUUAUAUUACUUUUGAUAACAAGAUAAAUAUAAAUAGAUGACUAAUAAUUUUUCUACAAUUAAUCCUAAUUCUUCAUUUUUGAAUUUGAGUGGCCAACAAAUAAAAUUAUUUGAAAACUACUCUAUCCUGAGAGUUAUUGGUAGAUGUGUGAUUGCUAACCACCAGAAAAAAUAACAAAAAAGAAAUUUAAUUGAGGAAAAUCAAAUAUCUAUAAAGAUUUGUACCAAUCAUGUACACAAAUCAAACUCCCUCAGUGUUCUAAAGUGUAAAGGCCAGAGAAGACCUUGACUCACUAUUGUGUUUGAAAACGAGUGUUGCUAUUCAACGCGGGAAGAAGAUGAUUAUGGGCCUGCUCAUGGUGUCCUUUUCCUGGGUUAAAGUGUCUAUAUGAACUUUAUAAGAACUUGCAGAAUCCAAUCAACCGAAAAUUUACAAUCAUGGAUCCGACUUCCUUCAUUUUCAGAUUGGCGGCCCUUGUAUGGGCUGUAAUAUUUACAUGCGAUAACGCUGCUGUUAGAAGUGGUACAAUUGUCACAGCAUCUGCUUUGUCACCCAUACAGUUAGAAAAGGAAGCUUUACUCAUAACAGGCUGGUGGAACAACAGCUUGGCACCGGCCGACUACUCUUUGGACCAUUGCAAGUGGGAUGGCAUCACUUGCAAUUCAGCAGGAAGCAUAUUCGAGCUAUACUUAUCAGGGUAUUAUGCUGGCUUCAAUUGGCGGCUUAGCCAAUUAAACUUCUCUUGCUUUCCGAACCUCGUAAAGCUGACGAUCCAGUUCUUUGCUCUUACUGGAAGCAUACCACCAGAAAUUAGUGCUCUUUCAAAACUCCAACUGCUGGACUUGUCCUCGAACGGACUUACAGGUAACAUACGAAAUUAACUUCAUUACUGCAUAUUAUUUGAGCAAUCAUAUUUAAAUGGAUUAAGUUUGAGAGAAUACUGACAAAAACAAAGGUAAACCAGCCCUAUUUUAUCAUAUUAAUUGAAAAAAUAAUAAUAAUAAUUAACACGGUAGACACACCUGUUUACACCAUUGUUUUUAUUUAUGCUCUAUCAACGUUUAAUUUCUUCAACAUUUUUUUUCAUUAUUUUCGUAGACUAAUAACAUAAAUGUAUAAAAUAGGUACAAUCCCUCCAGAAAUUGGGAACCUGAAGAAUUUGAUCGAGUUGAAUGUGGGCAGUAACAGCCUAAUUGGGCCUAUUCCUUCAGCUCUAGGGAGUUUGACCAAUCUGAGCAAUUUGGAUCUUUCCUCUAACAAACUUUCUGGAAAAAUUCCUCCAGAGAUAGCAGGUAUGAAGAAUCUAACCUGGUUGGACCUAUCAAAUAACAACAUAAAAGGUUCAAUUCCCGGUGAGAUCACCGAAUUAUCUCGACUUGAUUAUCUAGAUCUUUCCUCUAACAAACUUUCUGGCCAAGUACCGUUUUCAAAUGAACAACUCUCAAGCGUGUAUAUAGUAAGACUCUCUCCUAACAAGGGUUUAUGCGGCGGCAAUUUUCUUGAUCUUCCCUCAUGCGAUACAACCAAACUCAAACAAACUUUCUGGCCCAGUACCGUUUUCAAAUAAUGAUCUCUCAAGCAUGCAUACGGUAGUAAGCCUCUCUCCUAACAACGGUUUAUGCGGCAAUAUUCUUGAUCUUCCCUCAUGCGAUACAACCAAACCUGCCACACUCUUUGUUGAAAUUUUUCUUCCCCUCACCAUAGUCCUCUCAGUCAUAGUCUUUGCAUGCUUACUACUUGCUAAACGUAAGUACAAGAAACCCAAACUCGAGGAAAGAGCAACCAAUAACAUAGAUGUAUUUUCAAUAUGGAAUUAUGAUGGUAGAAUUGUCUACGAGGAUCUGAUUGAAGCCACGGAAGAUUUUCACAUUAAAUAAUGCAUUGGUACCGGAGGCUAUGGCAGCGUCUACAAGGCACAGCUUCCCAACGGCAAGGUAUUUGCAUUGAAAAAGCUUCACACUUCAGAAACAGAGGAAUUGGCGUUCAUCAAGAGUUUCCGAAACGAGGCUCAAGUACUUUCUCAAGUACUGCACCGUAAUAUUGUCAAAUUAUACGGUUUUUGCUUGCACAGAAAAUGCAUGUUUCUGAUUUACGAGUACAUGGAGAGAGGAAGCUUGUUCUGCAAUUUACACAAUAAUGAGGACGCCGUGGAGUUGGAUUGGGCUAAGAGGGUGAACAUUGUAAAAGCCAUGGCACAUGCUUUGGCGUACUUGCAUCAUGACUGCUCACCAUCAAUUAUUCACCGCGACAUAUCGAGCAACAACAUUCUACUUAACUCAAAAUUGGAGGCAUUUGUUGCUGACUUUGGCACUGCCAGGCUUCUACACGCUGAUUCGUCCAAUCGAACUCUAUUAGCAGGAACAUAUGGAUAUAUAGCUCCAGGUUUACCCUUAUGAUAUCUAUUCUUCUGAUGAUCGAUCCUUUAUUUGGUUCAAUUUUAUUUUCUUUUACUUUAUAUUGCAGUCAUAUCCCAUAACAUCUCUCUUAAAUAGAUAGCCAGCUGGCUAGAGAAACUCACAUAUGGAAUUAUGUCUUUUAUUAGUGGGAAGCUACAUUCUAUGAUUACUUUGCUUCAUUUAAAUCUUCAUUUUUUUGUUUGGGGCAGAACUUGCCUACACCAUGGUUAUGACGGAGAAAUGUGAUGUUUAUAGCUUUGGAGUAGUGACACUUGAGGUAUUAAUGGGAAAGCAUCCAAGGGACAUUCUUUCAUCAUUGUCAUCAUCAUCUGAUCCAAAAAUCAUGCUGAUUGAUGUUUUAGACCAACGUCUUCCACCUCCAGUUGAUCGAAAGGUUAUUCAAGAUAUCCUUCUUGUUUCAACAAUUUCAUUUGCGUGCUUGCAAUCGAACCCAAAGUCCUGACCUACAAUGUGAUUUGCUAAUCUUAAAUGUAUUUCAUUGAUAGAUUUUUGGUAGAUUAUUUUUAUUUUAUAAAAAAAUUUAAUGUAUAAAUAAAUUAAAUCACAAAAAUGAAAAAAUGUUGGAUAAAAUAUAAUUACCAAAGUGCAGAUUUACGAGACCAUGAUGGAAUGGAUAUUUUACAUUUAGAUGAAAAAUUAGGGGUAUUAUUGGUAUUAAGAGUUAGGUAUCUAAGCAAAUCCGUUGAAUAUGUGCGCGGAGUGAUGUAACAGGAAUUAAAAACGUGACAGUUGACAGUUACCAACUGAUUGAAACUAUUAAAAUGACUCAUUUAUAACUGAAAAUGGCCGCUCAACUAAUUUGAUAACAAACCAUGGUUAUCAAAUUAUAUAGCCCGGAAAUCUACUUCAAUCUUUGGAAAAUUUUUAUACAAGUUUUAAAUUUUCCACAAGAUAUCCCAAAAUGUAAUUAAUAAAAGUCUGUGCGGCUCCAAAACCAAUUUUUACUGAUUAUUUGAUUAUUUUUAUUGCCAGAAUGACACAUAUUACAAAUUUAUAGGGUAGAAAAUAACAAAACAAAAGUAAAAAAAAAAUUAUAGCACUAGUUAUUUUACAAGGGUAAUUCUGUCAAUUUGAUUGAUGAUUGAUACAAUAAAGUUAAGGUGAAAAAUUAAAUAAAUUAAAUUUUUUGAAGUAUCUUUUACAAUAAAGCAAGCUUAAGGUUGACAAUCGAUAAUUUUUCUAUCAUUAUUAGUCCAAAUCCUCCAUCUAAACUAGCCAAAUAAAGUUAUUUAGAAGCUACUCUACCAAACCGUUACUGGUAAAUUAUAGAGCCUUACUAUGGAAUGCUCAAUGUUGACUUGGGAAAAGGGUUUGAGAUCUAUUUUGAGUCUUGAUCAAGCUUACAAUUUCAGCAUAGAGAUUACACACAUAUAUGGUAAACUAUUAAGAGUAAAUGGAAGGUCUAACAACAAUUUGGAAUUUUACAAAACUGGGGACACAUGCACCAAUUAAUUAGACUCCAAAACAAGAUUAUUUGGAAAAAAGUAGAAGAGUUAGAAAAAUUAGAGAUAAUAGGUAAUAAUCCAAUUAUAAAAAAUAAAAAAGUAUACAAAUAACAAAUAAUUAACCUACAAUUUUACAUACAUAAAUAAAUAUCAAAAUUGUUAAUUGGAUUAAGCUUCAGAUUUGGUACUGGUUUGUGAAAAUUGAAAAAAUUGAAUAUUACAUAGUAUUCCAAUAGUUACUCUAAUAAAGUGUGUUUGGAACACAAUAUUAGUAUUAUAAUACUAUCCACAUUAAUUUAUUGUUAACUUAUGUUUUGGUAAUUUUAGAAGUUACGUCGCAGUGCAUAAUGCGCCAACUUUUGCUUCAAUUGAGGCAUUAAAUAUUUUUUAUUAUUAUUUAAUUUUUACUAUAAAACAGUGGCCCAACACUUGGCAUGUCAAACAAAAAAACUGUUCACGUUCUUGGACACACGCUGGUGCCACAUCAUCACUCAUUGUAAACUGAAAAGAAAAUUUUUGAAUAAGAAAACAGUUGAGUAAUUGUAUUUCGAGUCUUUGGUAGACAUUAUUCGUUUAUACUGGGGCCAGUUUUUCAUUUAACUACAAAAUUACUUUUAUGGAAACCCAUAAAAUAAUUUUUUUUAUUAAUUAAUUAUAUUACGUCUUCAACGAUUAUCAAAUUCUUAUUCGAGUUCAUUAUUUAAGUGGUAAUGCGUUAUCUAAAUAAUCUCAAAUGAUGUGUUAAACAAAUAUUUUGAGGAACAAGACUUAUCAUGUUUCCUCUUAUUAGUUGUAUUUUUAAUUUCUUAUUAAAAAAAUUCUCUCAUAUUCGAUUUAAAAAAAAAAUUCAGCCACCCACAUAAAGGUUGUUAGCUUCGCAGUUGUAUUUUUGGAUCCCUUAUUCUAACUUUUAUCAUGACAUGGCAGUGGUGACAGCAGAGCUUGUUCAUAUUGGUAGAAGUGAAAGCAAAUUAAGGAGAGAAAAAGAGACUAAUUAAGGUAACUUUCAUCCUAUUACGUUUUCUUGAAACCCAUCCACAUAAAAUAACUGCUUAGUUAAACUCUUAUCAUAUCUGCCAACAUGCUGCUUCUGGAUCCCUUUAUUCUGACUUUUAUCAUUUACAUGGCAGUGAUGGGAGCAGAGCUUGUUCAUAUUGGUAGAAGUGAAAGCAAAUUAAGGAGAGACAGAGAGACUAAUUAAGGUAACUAAAUACAUAUGUCCACUAAGUUUAAUAUAGCGAAGUCCUGGAUCAGUCGAUUUGCUGAAAUGAUUUCAAGUAAUCGCCCACUGUGAUUGGCAAUUUUCUCUUAUUUAAGUUUUGGUGAAAUGAAGCCCAUCCACAUAAAAUAAUUGACAGGAAGUGUUAAGGAGAAAAGAUCAGUCUGAUUCAAUGCCUAGGGAUGUUACAAUCAUUUUUUGUUACUAAAUAUUUUUAAAUUAGGAUAAUGUAUUAAUGUAAUAAAACUUUUCAUAAUCUGACAAUUGAUAUACAAAAACCAGAAUCCUAAUUAAAUUCAAACAAUCAUUAUAAUCAACAUCUAUAGGAAAAAGAAAAACGAGAAGCAUAUGCAAUAAAAAUCAAUUCGUGAGGGAGGAAAAUUUACCUUAAUUAUUGAUGUGUUCUCUUCUGGAAUUUUAAUCUCUUGGUACUGAACUUAAUUUUUGCUUAAUUUAUUUCUGCCUCACGAGAACUUACUAUCAUAGAACAUAUAUAUUUUGAGGUCGGACUAUUGGCACCCCUCUAAAAUUCUAUUGAAAUCCCUUUUUUAAUUAUAUUCCAUUUAAAACCAAAAAUACCUUUUUUAAUUUAACACUCUUUUCAUUUAUGAAUUUUUUUAGUUUCCUCUCUUCAAACUUUCUUUAUUAUUUAAUUUCUAAAGCAAAAAAUCUAAAAGAAAAACUAAAAGAAAAUAAUGAAUAUUUUAUGGGUUUAAUACAAUUAUCCUACCUAUAAAUUUUGGGUUCGUUGGGUUCAAAAAUUAGUUUGAGAAGCCUUAAGAAAUUAAUUAAAUUAGGGUAAAAUUUUAUUUAAUUUAUUUUUCCACUAUGUUGUAUCUUAAUUUAGUUUUUUUUUUUUUUUGGUUACAAGAACUCUAUUUUGGCUUAGAGGAUUACUUCUUAAAUUCAAAUUAUUUUAAUGAUAAUAAAAAAUUUGUGCAAGAAAAAAAAUGAGGAGAGAAAGAAAAUAUAAAUGAUUUUAAUUCUAUUUAUAUUUAUCCUUAAACGUAAUUAUAAUGUAGCAAGGGUUUUAUGAGAUUAAUGAAGGAGUGCCAAUAGUCCAACUCAUAUUUUGAUGGUAAACUUGAUCAAAUUUUUUAGCGGGAAAAAAAAAAGAUUUGAAAUAAUAAUAUUAUAUUACUGCAGGAAAAAAAUGUCGGUAACUUUGAUUUGGUGUAUCUUGGGCCACGUACGUACUUUACAUUUGGGCUAGCAUCAGGAAAAGAGAAGUGACGGUAACAAUAAAAUUAUAUUGUUGCAGGAAAAGAGAUUUCUCAACAUCUGUCCUCUGACCGACCGACGGACCCUACAUGAUCCUUGUUCAAAUUGGCUCCCGAAUGUGCCACGUCAACAUGUCAAAACUCGGCCACGUCAUCAACCACGUCAUCUCUCAACCGAUUAUAACGGAUGAUAAUUUGGAUAAGCAAAACAAACAGUUGAAUUGAGUCUCUUCACAAGAAGAUAAUACUUAAGAGAGACCAAAAUGGCGCGAGCCCCGCUUACUUGCAUCAAGUAAAUGAAUUUUAGUUGAAACAAAAGUAGGCCCAUAAUUACAAAUAAAAAUGGCCCAUUACUAUUCACAUCAUUGACAAAACUCGAAGCAGAGCACAGUUUCAAACUCGAAACAAAACGCCAGCAUUUUGGUGGUGCAGCCAUUGCUCAAGAGUUUUUUUUCCGCAAAAGUGCUUAUUUUCCAAAUAUAUAUCCCUUCUUUCCAUUUAUUAACCUGCAUUCAAAUACCCCCAUUUGUGAAUUACAGGUUAAUUUUCAUUUCUGACUCAAAAUUUUCCUCCCGCUUUCCCAAAGUUAAGGUCUCAUUGUUUCAUUGCGUGUAAUAAAGUGAAGGUGAUUAUAUUGAUUUAGACUAUCCCAAUAUUUAUUUUGAUUCCUUAAAAAAUUAAUUUAAUGGGUCUUAAAAUUAUCUUUUUAAUUGUCGUAGUUCUUGUAAAAACUAUUCAUCAAGUAUGGCGGGGUGAGAUUUUGUGUAGUUGAAAAUUUACUCUACCACAGUCAUGUACAAAUAAAGUAAUAGUCAAGUUUUUGAGAAAUUAUUCUGUCAUAGUCACGCACAAGUCGGGUGAUCAUCGACUAAUUGAAAUGGUCAGGCACAAGUCAAGAGUAUAAUUGGGUAUGAAUCCAAGUGUCAUAAGAGUGAGAUUAAAAUGGCCAUGAGAUCCUAAUUUAUAAUAUUGUCAAUUUGUCAUCAACAAAAACAUGCGAUAGAUAGCGUACACGAUAAACGCGUCUGCCUUGGACAGGUUUGUGGAAAAACUUGGUGCUCUAAGUCUAAAAGUAUUACAUUUAAUUAGAUUCCCCCUUCAGUGGUGUGAGUAAAGGAGAUGGCUACAAAAAGCUUUUUUUGGGUAUAAGGUGGACUCUUAAUUUGGAGAGUCUUACAUCAAUAACUUUCAACUUUUUCUUAACCUUCCCACGAGUUUCGUUAUCAUAGCCGCGGAAAAGAAGUCUAGACUUUUACAGAAUUGGUCAAAAUAUUAAUUAAGAUUAUUGCUCCUUAAUUUAAGACUUGUGCUCAAAGUCUAAAAGUAUUAUGAAGAUCGACUUGGUGCAUACUCCCAAGUCUAAAAGAAUUAUAAUUAAUUAAGAUUAUUCUUAUUGGUCAAGCUUUCAAGUAGAUCACCCCCGGGUCGCUGGUAGAUUUGUGAUUGCUAAUCACUAAUAAACAGAGAAAAUAACCAAAAACAAAAAGGAAUGUUAUGAAGGAUAAUCAAAAUAUACAUGCAGACUUAUGCCAAUCAUAUAUAAAAGUCAAACUUCGUCAAAGUCUAAAGGCCGAAGAAGACCUUGACUCACUAUUGUGAUUGAGAAACGUGUGUUGCGAUCAAUGUACAGGAGGAGGAUUUAACUGGGGAAGAAAAAUAGAAGAUGAUUAUGAGCCUGCUCAUGGUGUCCCUUUCCUGUAGUUAAAAUGUUUAUAUAAACUUUACAAGAGCUUGCUGAAUCCAAUAGCUCAAUAAACCUUGACUCACUAUUGUGAUUAAGUUAUAAGCAUGAUUCCGGCAGCCUCCAUUUUCAGAUUGGUGGCCCUUGCAUGGGUUGUAAUAUUUGCGACAGCAUUUGCUUUUUCACCCAUACAGUUAGAAACGAAAGCUUUACUCGAUACAGGCUGGUGGAACAGCAGCUUUUGGAUGGCCAACUACUCUUCGGAUCAUUGCAAGUGGAUUGGCAUCACUUGCAAUUCAGCUGGAAGCAUAAUCGGGCUAAACUUAUCAUGGUAUGAUGUUGACCUCAAUGCGCAGGCACAGCUUAGCCAAUUAAACUUUUCUUGCUUUCCGAACCUCGAAAGUCUCAGAAUCCAGGCCUAUUAUUAUGGUUUUACUGGAAGCAUACCAUCAGAUAUUAGUGCUCUUUCAAAACUCCAACUGCUGGACUUGUCCUUGAACAGGCUUUCAGGUAACCUACAAAAUUAACUUCAUUACCGCAUACUAUUUAAGCAUGAUAUUUAGAUGGAAAAUUUUGACACAAUAAUGAGAAAUACAAAGGUGAAACUUGGUCCAUCUUGCCAUGUUAAAUGAAAAAAAAUGACAAUAAUUAACACAGUAAAUGCAUCUGUUUACCAUUAUUCUUAUUAAAGGGCUCUCAGCGUUCAAUUUCUUUAUAAUUUUUUUCAUUAUUUUCGUAAACUAACAACAUAAACAUAUAGCAGGUACCAUUCCUUCAAAUAUUGGGAAUUUGAGAAAUCUCGUUCAUCUUGAUCUAGGUAAUAACAACCUUACUGGGCCGAUACCUUCAACUCUAGCUCGUUUGACCAAUUUGAAGUAUUUGGAUCUUAGUUUUAACCAAUUCAACAACUCAAUUCCAAAUGAGCUCAGCCAGCUAAUUAAAAUUUUUCAUCUUGAUCUUUCCUCUUAACAAACUUUCUGGAAAAAUUCCUCCAGAGGUGACAAGUAUGAAGAAUCUAACCUGGUUGGACAUAUCAAAUAACAAGAUAGAAGGUUCAAUUCCCGGUGAGCUCACCGAGUUAUCUCGACCUGAUUGCCUCAGUCUUUCCGCUAACAAACUUUCUGGCCCAGUACCAUUUUCAAAUAAACAACUCUCAACCAUGUAUAUAGUAAGACUCUCUCCUAACAAGGGUUUAGGCAGCAAUUUUAGUGCUCUUCCUUCAUGCGAUACAACCAAACCUGUCACUCUGUUUGUUGAAAUUUUUCUUCCCCUCAGUUAUAGUCUUGGCAUGCUUACUAGCCGUCAAACGUAAGUACAAGAAACCCAUACUCAAGGCAAACGCAACCAAUCGCAUAGAUGUAUUUUCAAUAUGGAAUUAUGAUCGUAGCAUUGUCUACGAGGAUCUGAUUGAAGCCACGGAAGGUUUUGAUUACUUGAUUCAGUUUCCAAAAUUCGAAUCUUUUGCUUUGUCAUUUCUCUUCCGCUCUUCGACUGGUACGUUUCUUAUUAUUAUUUUUUAUUUAUAAUUUUGAAUUAUUUCAUUUUUAUUUUCAUUUAUACUUUAAUUGAUUUAAUGCGGUGGUACUAUGUCUAUCCUUACCGGUACUUCAGAAUUUAAAUCAAUUUUUGUGAUUAUUUUUGCACGCGAGUUUUCAGUUUCGAUAUUUGUAAUCACCCUCUUAGGGUUUCUGAUUCGUGCAUUGAUGUUUCAAUUGAUUCAAUCAAGUAGAUUUCUGUUAUAGUGUUUUUUUCCUUUAUGAAAUCAGAGAAUCAAAUGUAGGUAUCAUUUUGUAAUGUAGGUAUAUUUGGGAAAUGUUUUUAAAUGAAUUUUUUUAAAUGCCCGAGUUAUCAAUGUAUUUCAUUGAUAGUAUUUUGUAAAACUUUGGUGAGGGUGAAUUUUGGUUUCAUGAAACCGUUACCUUUCUUGAAUAAAAAUGAAAGUAACGCUUCUAAAGUGAAGUUGGUGCUUCCAAUCUAAACGAUUACAUCUUUAUUUAUUUUUUCUGUGCGAAUUGCAUGUGCAAAUAAGGUCAGCAAGUUUUGCUACUGUGUUAGGAAAUCUUCUUCCACUCACAUUAUUUUUAUAAAUUAAUAUCGUGUGCAAUAUCUGCCUCUCGUUAUCAUCUUUCAACCGGACAAAAGUAGACUGCAAAUAUAAAUGUAGACAAAUUGUUAGCCUUGCUUCACAGAAGUUUCAUUGCAUGUCGUUUUGCAUUGGCGCAUAAGAGUGACCAAUUGAUUGGAACGGCAAUGUUGAAGUUGAUCUGAUAAAAGUGAAAAUGACUAGAUAUUCCACCAUGUCUAAAUCCAAGAAAUUGAAGCACCAAUCAAGUGAUCAAAUUCUCUCAUAUAAUUAAUUAUCAUCACUUGGCCUGAAGGUCAUCAAGUAGGUACUCGGUUGACAAAUUAAAUUACAUAGUUAUUUCAUAAAUGAUAAGGAAAUAUAACCUAAGAUUUUGGUCAUAUUUGGUAUUAAGGUAUUAUAACUUUUAAGCAUAGUCAUUGUGGAACAAAAUUGUAAUUAUGAAAAAAAUUAAGAGUACAUAAUUAAUUUAACUUUUAACUAAUAAUUUUGACAAAAUAAUAAAGAUAUUAUGGACUUCUCAUCAUACAAGUGUGUGAUCAAAUCAACUUAACUUUUAUACCACAAUUGACAGUACUUAGUAAAUAAUUUUGUGCUAUAACUUAGAAAACUAUAACUACCCAACAUCGAUACCAAAUAGGACCUUAGUCUGUAAGCAUCUAUCAUUCUUUCCUUAUUUUAAAAUACUAGUCGUAUUAAGUCUUGAACUUGAAAUCAAUCUAACGGUACAGAGUUUUUUCCAAGUUCCAUCAGCACCAAAUUUUCCUCUGCUUCCUCUGUUUCUUCAGCUAAACGCCACUAAAGAUUUCAAAAUUAUUGGCUGUUUGUUUCAGGAUUUUAGCUAUCUGUAUGAUACAUCCGCUGAGACCCCGGGUGCAUUUUUUCCUUCUCAAAUAUUGAAAGGCUCAACGAUCUUUCUUGAGUUUGUGUCUAAAGAGCAAGCUCUCCUCAACUCAUAGCCGUUAGAUUAGAUUCAUUUAGCUAUUCGACGGUCAAAAGGUAACAAGACUAAAAGUAAAGAGAGCCGUUGUGGGAUCCGCUUCAAUGAUGAAACCCGACACGUCGCUAUCAAAUUUCUUUUAAAAUAUGUGGUGGUAGUGGAAAUAACAUUAAGUCCCUAAGUUUUUAAAACAUCAUAAGUAAAGACAUCUCUUGCAAACAUAUUCAUAGAAGUCCUAUCCUUAGAAUUUGUUAAAAAUUCACAAUUAAAAUCAAUCAUUUAACCGUUAAAUAUUUGAAAAUCGGCUUACAGAUAAACUUAUUUAUCUCCAUGUUUUGAGAAACAUAUUAUUGAACUUUCAACAAAACUUGACAAUAUAUAAGAUAUAAUUCGUAGCACAACUUACUAAUUCAAUAUGAAAAUGAUAUAAAUUAAGUCAAUACAUUUAAAUUAAUUUAAGAUUACACAAGUAUUAAUCAUAUAAAAUAUGCAUCAUUUAUUUACUAACCUGAUUGGGUUUAGAUUUUUUUUAAUAUUAUAUAUGACACAAUAAUUAUGGUAUUAACCAUAUAGGUUCUCAAUAAUAUUUAAAUAAAAAAUAUUAAAUGGGUGAAAAUUAAAAAAAAAUUAAUUUAAAGAUAUGUUAAUCAUGCUUUUAUCAAUCGUGUGCUAAAUUGGUGUUUUAAGCUUUUUAGUUUGGUCGAACUUGUGCCGCCCAAAUUUUUCGCGCUAAAAAACAUGAUAAACAAAUUUUUGUAAAAUUUUUGGACUAUUUUUUGUAAAAUUUUUGUAAAAUUUUAUAUCAUUUUUGUAAAAUUAAAAUUAAAAAUUUUGUAAAAUUUUUGGCUACUAUAACAGGGUCUUUGUAAAAUAUAUUAUCACUUAUGCCCCUUCAUUUAAAUUUUCGUAAACAUUAGGAACCUUCGUGCUAUUAUCUCAAAAGAAAUCAGGUUCUUCAAGCCCAUAAAUACCAAGUGUCAUUCACACUCUACUCAUAUUACAAAACCAAAACAAGAUAUAAUUCGGGGGGAAAAAAAAAAUCAUAUCAUAAAAUCAAAGUCUCUCACACUCUUAAGUUCUAAUACAGAGAUGGCGCAAGUUAGUAUUUGCAGAGCUGUGGCUUUGAUUCUCUUCAUUGCAGCGCUUCUCUCAAUGACAGCUGUCGUCAGUGCACAGGAUGUCGACCUGGCGCCGUUGCCGAGCAUGGACGCCGGAGCUGCGUUCCCGGUGACUGUUUCAGGUGGUUUUGUUUGCUCCUCACUCUUCUUCUCAGUCAUUACUCUACUAUUGCAGUAACAGGUUCUUGAGAGACUCAGAUUUUUAUUUUAUUUAAUUUUUAUUUUUAUUUUUAUUAUUAGGAUAUUUAUUACUUUUGAAAUUUUUGGCUAUUUUUUUAAUUGCUAUUUGGUGGGAGUGAGAAUAUUAGUUUUAAUAAUUCGAUUAUUUUUCCUCUAAUCUUUGGUUAGGAUUGUAUUUUCUUUUUAUUUUUUUACGGUCUUGAUAUUAUAUUAUAUUUUAAUUAUAAAAAUUGGAAUUAUUAUUUAUCAUUUUGCAUCUCUCUUUAAGUAUAUUUAUCAUUUGGCUAUUAUAAGUAUUGUUGAUUUUAAGUAUAUUUAGUACAAAAUCUAGCUGAAGGAAAUUGACUUUUAAAUAAGAAAAAAAAAUCUAUUUGGGUGGUUAAAAUCUAAUAAAGUUAAUUGAAAAUCUAUUGCAAAAUAAUAAUUCAAAAUCCGUGUCAUUAUUUUAAGCAAAAAAAUUUCUCAAGAAAAAUUGAACUGGGGAUAGUUUUAUGUAGUUUCGUACUUUCAAUUUCAAACGGGCCGGUUUAAUAAUUAGACAUUUUACUUAAAAUCAUCAUACUUAUCUCGAAAUUCAUUUUUUUUCCUCGCAUACUUUAUAUUAUUAAUCAACAUAUAUAAAAAUUUUAAUAGAAACACGAUGCUUUUCCAAAAUCCUAAUGGCAUACGAAGUCUUCAUCUCGAUUUGAAAUUCAACCAUAUCUGUUUUUCUUUUUCUUUUUUUCAGGUUUCAUUUACCAUUAUUAUCCAUUCGCAACUUGCAUCUGUUGUGGUUAACUGAUGAAGAAGAUACUCAAAAAUACAAACAAGAAAUUAAAAACAAAGGCAACAAGCAAGAGACAUGCAAAUUUAGAGUGCCCUCUCUGUGUGGGGCUAAUGGUCAAUUUUGGAAUUAUCGUUCGAAUAGUCAAAAUUGAUUGUUUGAAAUUAAUUACAAACGUGUGUACCUUGCUGAUCGGUAAACAAAUUAUAUAGCCCGGAAAGAUCUUGACUCCAAAAGAAAUCUACUUCAAUCUUUGGAAAAUUUUGAUACAAGUUCUAAAUUUUCCACAAGAUAUCCCAAAAUGUAAUUUUCAAACAAUUGUUGUUGGUGUUGUCGAGCUCGUUUUAGACGUUUAGGAAUUGUUAGAACGUGUGUAAGGACAAUGACUUCUUGAGUCAUGAAUAAAAGACCAUUUAUGGAUUAAUAAAAGUCUGUAUGGGGCUCCAAAACCAAUUUUUACUGAUUAUUUUUAUUGCCACAAUGACACAAAUUACCAAUUUAUAGAGUAGAAAAUAACUUGUCAUGAAUAGAAGACCAUUUAUUUAUACAUGGAAUUAUGGAUUAAUAAAAGUCUUUGCUCCUCCAAAAUUAAUUUUUAUUGAUUAUUUUAUUAUUUGAUUAUAUAUGUUGGACCAAAAAUAAAAUAAGCCUAAUGUGAAGGCAGCUCAUUAUUCAAGUAGCUCAAUAAAGCCACGUCAGCAGCAGAUUGAAAGUGAAGAAUGACAGCUCAGCAUGAUUGAUUAAUAGUCAAUAAUCCAGCUCAUGUAAACUGUGAUGUAACGAAUUGUAGUUGGUUUUGGUUGUUAAGAAAGUUAGUUAGUCACGAGUUAUUCUCACGUGUAAGUGAUUGUAUAUAAGCUUGUGAUUGACUUAUGAAUUAAUAAGAAUUGAAUCUUUUGGAAAUCAAUCUUCAUUUUCUCUGUAAUUUUCUUCCAAGCCAAACAGCAUAGUUCUGUUUUCUUUCAUGGUAUCAGAGCCACAAAUGGCUAGCUCAAGUAAUACAACUUCAAAUCAACCAAUCAUAAACUCAAUUCCAAACUCGCAAACUUCAUUUACCUUUGCUGCAACUGUGAAACUUGAUCGAUCAAAUUUCCUACUUUGGCGUAAGCAAGUAUUAACGUCAAUCAGAGGAAAUCGUCUUGAACAUUUUAUCUCGGAGCCACAAGUUGUUCCAGAUCAGUAUCUAUCUGGAGGAUCUGGUGAGAGCAUUGAAAAUCCAGCUUACAUCAACUGGAGAGCGCAGGACCAAACACUUCUCGGCUGGCUACUGUCAACUGUCAGUGAAGGUAUUCUAAGUUAUGUUCUCAACCAUGACACCUCCUUUGAUAUGUGGAGAUCUAUUGAAAAACAGUUUGGAGUUCAAUCUGAAGCUAAGAUAAUGCAACUUCGAUAUGAAAUGAAUAUUCUGAGAAAAGAUUCAAUGAAUGUUGAGGAAUACUGUGCCAAAAUGAAAUUGCUUGCUAACAAAUUAGCUUGUGCUGGUGAUAUAAUUACUGAGAAGGAUCUGUUAAUGAGAGUGUUAAAUGGUUUAGGUCCAGGAUAUCUAGAUUUAGCCUCAAUAAUCACUGCAAAUAAGAUGAGCUUUGAUGAUGCUUAUGCACUAUUGUUGACACAUGAGGCUAGGCUUGAGCAAAAUCACAGUACCAAAACUAUGUUUCAUGCAAAUUACAGCACAGUGAAUGUGAGUCAUCCCUAUAUGAGAGGAAAUUUUAGAAGAGGUGGUUUUGGAAAUGGACAUUAUGGUCGAUCUAUGAAUAGAGGUUUCAAUACUGGCAGAGGCAUGUUUCAUAACCAAUAUCCAAGAGGUGUUUCAACUGGUUUUGGUAACUUUGGGGGUUAUGGCAGAGGACAAAUGAUGCAAUCUUUUAGGCCACCUGUGAAAACAAAUCCCUCACUUAACAUGCAAGCAGAUGAAUCAACAGUUAUAUGUCAGAUAUGUCACAAAACAGGACACACAGCAGAUGAAUGUUAGCAUAGAUAUGAUGAUCCACCAUUACCUAAACAGUUUGGAAGAGGCAAAUCCUUUGGACCUAAAGCUGCUUAUGUAUCUAACUUUGAUCCAUAUACCAGUUAUGCUGCUCCUCCAAUUGAAGAACAAUAUGCUGCAUCUUAUCCAUGCUACAAUCCUAUAUCCUAUUCAUCAUUUCCAGCAGCAGAUUCAACUGUUGCUGAAGCUUAUCUUUCCAACUAUGAUGGACCUGCUGAUGAAGGGCGGUACCUUGACAGUGGUGCCACACAUCACUUGACCAACAGUAUGGCCAAUAUGAAUGUCAGAGAGGAGUUCAGAGGAGCUGAUCAAUUGGUCAUUGGCAAUGGACAAGGUUUGCCUAUAACUCACAUUAGUAAUGCAUGCUUUACUUAUAAAGGGUCAAAUAAUGCAUAUAAACCAGCAUAUAUCUUGCUUAAAGACAUGCUAUUAGUGCCUGAUAUCACAAAGAAUUUGCUAAGCAUAUCAAAACUGACAACUGAUAACAAUCUUUCUGUUGAAUUUGUUGGUAAUGUCUGUUAUGUGAAGGAUUCUCUGAAGAAAGGAUUGUAUAAGCUGCUUCUAAAGCCAUCUGAGUCUUCUCAUUGUGCUUACCUGUCUCAUUUCUCUCCUGUUCAACCUUUGUCAAUGUUGUCUGCAUAUUUCUCUGAAUCAAUUGUUCCCAAAAACACUCAAAAUAAUGAUUCUAGUUGUGUCUCAUCUUGUAAUGCAUCAAUCAAUAAAUUUUCCAGCUACAUUUCAUCUUGUGAUGCAUUGAAUAAUAAAGUUCAGCUUUUAAACAGACGUUUUGGGCAUCCAAACUCUCAAAUUCUGAUGCAUUUGCUAAAAAGUGUUCCCUCUGUUACUCUCUCCCACAAUACCAUAAAGCAAGCACUUGAAAAAUUAUGUGAAGCAUGUCAAAUGGGUAAAACUCACAUAUUACACUUUCCUAGCACAGAAACCAAAACAACAAAACCCCUGGAACUUAUCCACACAGACUUAUGGGGGCCUUCACCAACACUUUCUAGAGAUGGAUAUAACUAUUACCUAAGUCUUGUUGAUGACUUUAGCCGAUAUACUUGGAUUUAUCCACUUAAGCUGAAAUGAGAAGCCUUAGAUGUCUUCAAGUUAUUCAAAUUGCAGGUUGAAAACCAAUUUGACACUACUAUUAAGAACCUGCAAUCUGAUUGGGGGGGAGAAUAUAGAUCAUUUACACAAUUCUUAAACCAAUGUGGAAUCAUUUUCAGACAUUCUUGCCCCUAUACACACCACCAAAAUGGGUUGGUAGAGAGAAAACAUAGACAUAUUGUUGAGCUAGAACUUACUCUGUUAGCACAAGCCAAGCUACCAUUUAAGUUUUGGUGGGAUGCCUUUCACACAGCUGUUUAUCACAUCAAUCGAUUACCAUCAACAGCCUUGAAACUACUCACUCCUUAUGAGAAAAUUUUCAAACUUAAACCUGACUACAGCAUGCUCAAGUGCUUUGGGUGCAUAUGUUAUCCUUACUUAAGGGAUUAUAACAAACACAAGUUUGAUUAUCACUCAAGCAAAUGCAUUUUCCUUGGCUAUAGUCCAGCUCAUAAAGGAUACAAGUGUCUACAUUCAUCAGGAAAAAUAUACAUAGCUAGACAUGUGGUAUUUGAUGAGUCAACAUUCCCUUAUUCCAUUGACUCAGCCUUUAAUUCCAAUGAGUCAUCACUCAGUUCAAGUUCAUCCUUGACACCUCAACAAGUGUACCAGUUAUCUACAUUGUCUGUAACCCCAAUGUCAGAUGUGAACAGCUUAUGCAAUUCUCAGCAAGCAAUCCCUACCAGAAGCAGUUCACAACAUUCAGACAAUUCUUCUCACAUUGACAAUCAACAUUCCCAGUUGCAAACACAUCUACCAGCCAUUGAACCAUUUGUUGAGCCUCAAACUUCAUCAUAUCCACCUCAAACUGUACAUCCCACAUCAACUUCUAUUCAACCUAAUACACAUCCCAUGACCACCAGAAGUAAAGCUGGUAUUUUCAAACUAAAGCUUUAUACAGCAACUCUUGUUCACAAAGAACCUGACUCUGUGUAUGAAGCAAUGCAAAAUCCAAAAUGGCUUACUGCUAUGAGAGAAGAAUAUGCAGCAUUGAUGGAGAAUGGUACAUGGUCUUUAGUCCCCAGAAUAGCUGACCAGAAAGUUGUCGGAAAUAAGUGGGUUUAUAGGGUGAAAUAUAACACUGAUGGAAGUGUGGCUAAAUACAAAGCUAGGUUAGUGGCAAAGGGAUUCCAACAGAUUAUGGGAGUGAAUUGUUUUGAAACCUUUAGCCCUGUCAUAAAACCAGCAACUGUGAGAGUAGUCUUAAGUCUAGCUGUGAUGAGUAAUUGGAAGAUAAGACAAGUCGAUGUGAAUAAUGCUUUCCUUAAUGGAGAGUUAUCAGAAGAAGUAUUCAUGGAUCAACCAGAGGGGUUUAUUAGUGCUGAGAAACCAGAUUAUGUGUGCAAGCUUCAUAAGUCUCUUUAUGGACUCAAACAAGCUCCAAGAGCUUGGUAUGAUAAGCUGAAAGGAUGCUUGCUGCAGUGGGGUUUUACAAAUUCCAGUUCUGAUACUUCCUUGUUCUUAAAAAGAAGCAAAUCCUCAAUGAUUUUAGUACUGAUAUAUGUUGAUGACAUCUUAAUAACAGGGCCAAAUAGUUAUGAGUUGGAAAACUUCAUUGCUGAAUUCAGUACAAAGUUUGCUUUGAAAGAUCUUUGAACACUUUCUUAUUUCUUAGGCAUAGAAGUGCUAUAUGGUACAGACUGUAUCUUCUUGUCUCAGAAGAAAUACAUAAGGGAUUUACUGUUAAAGGUUAACAUGCUCAGCUGCAAAGACAUUGAUACUCCCAUGAGUACAGGGAUGAAGUUGCAGAAGGAAGCUCAAGGAACCCUUGGUCAUUAUGUUGAAGAUGCAACACACUACAGAAGCUUGGUUGGUGGAAUGCAAUACUUGGUAUUAACAAGACCAGAGAUUGCUUUCAGUGUGCAUAAACUGAGUCAAUAUGUAUCAGCACCAACACUGCAACAUCUUAUGGCUUGCAAAAGGGUGCUUAGAUACUUAAAGGCAACACAAGAUUAUGGACUCAAGUUCAUUAAAGAUGGUCAUAUGAAAUUAACAGGCUUCACAGAUGCAGAUUGGGCAGGGGAUUUGGAUGACCGAAAAUCAGUUGGAGCCUAUUGCAUCUAUCUUGGUCAUAAUCUAAUUUCUUGGUCUUCUAAGAAGCAACCAGUUAUUACUAGAUCUAGUGCCGAGAGUGAGUACAGAUCUUUGGCAUCAGCAAGUGCAGAGAUAAGUUGGCUGCAGUCAUUGUUUUUUGAACUAAGAUUACAGUGCAUGGAAAAACCUAUUAUUUGGUGUGAUAAUCUUAGUGCUACUGAGCUAGCUCAUAAUCCAGUGUUUCACUCAAGAACAAAACAUAUUGAGAUUGAUAUUCAUUAUGUCAGAAACAAAGUUCUUGCUGGGGAUUUGAAUAUCCAGUUCAUACCAAGACUGGGGAUUUGAAUAUUCAGUUCAUACCAAGUGAAGAGCAGGUAGCUGACAUCAUGACUAAACCACUCUCAUUCACUCAAUUUAGCUACCUAAGAGCCAAACUCAAUGUCAUGCCAUGUCCCUUGAGUUUGAAGGGGGCUGUGAAGGCAGCUCAUUAUUCAAGUAGCUCAAUAAAGCCACGUCAGCAGCAGAUUGAAAGCGAAGAAUGACAGCUCAGCAUGAUUGAUUAAUAGUCAAUAAUCCAGCUCAUGUAAACUGUGAUGUAACGAAUUGUAGUUGGUUUUGGUUGUUAAGAAAGUUAGUUAGUCACGAGUUAUUCUCACAUGUAAGUGAUUGUAUAUAAGCUUGUGAUUGACUUAUGAAUUAAUAAGAAUUGAAUCUUUUGGAAAUCAAUCUUCAUUUUCUCUGUAAUUUUCUUCCAAGCCAAACAACAUAGUUCUGUUUUCUUUCACCUAAUAAGACCCAAAUAAAUUUAAUCUCAAUAAAGCUCAUCUAAUAAAUUUUCUCCCAAUUAAACCCACAAAGUGGUGGACAAAUCACCUAGAAUGAUCAUCCUAAGUAACAAGGUUUCAAAGCCCAAAACAAGUCAGGUCCUAGAUUCCUAUCCUAAGACAAACCACCUACGAUAAAUCAACUAGGUGGCAAGGAUUUGAAGUCUAAAACGUGUUGAGAUUCUAGGCUCUUAUCCUAGGACAAACCUCCUAAGUUUGAGGGCUCUUAUGAUCACAAGGUUUUAGUAAAAAUAACCUAAGGAUAAAACUUUUCUUCCUUUAAUCCGUAAACAAGUCUGUAUAUCCAUGUGUCAAUCAACAUACUAGAGGGCAACUGUUGCAAAAUGUCAUAAGAAUAAUGACAUUUGUCAUCAAAAUAACUAGGACCCAAGUCAAAUUAGUUUGGCCGAAAAAUACGUCUUUCAUUCUCACUAAAAGAUAAGAAAAAAAAGAGACUAAAAAGGAGAAAAGACUAACUUUCUCCCUCUAAUCUUUCUCUUUCUAAAUUUAUAUUUCCAAAAGUCCGGUUACUGACUUGAUCGUCGGAGGGCCCUAUGAUCAUUUUCUUGUAUUUACAGAGUAUCACUAGACGAAGACAUUUUGAUUGCCUAAGGAAGUGAACUGAGAAGAGCAUAUAUAAAGGCCCAUUAAGAUCAGCCCAAAGGAUAAACUCACCAUCAUCAAAUCUAAAAAAGAGGAACCCAUGUCCUAAGGGGGCUAUCCUCAGUCAGAAAUUUCCACAUCAUAAGUUGGGACAAAAUUUGCACCAACAAUAUAUAUUGCCAGAAUGACACCAAUUGAAAGAAAGCUUAGGUCGAAAAUGUCAAUAAUAAUAAUAGUAUUUAAUUUAUUUUUUUUGGUGGAUGAUUGAUACCAAUUAUAAACUUAGAAUAAAAAAAUUGAAUGAAUUUAAAAUUUUAUAUUACCUUUGAUAACAAGAUAAAUAUAAAUCGAUGACUAAUAAUUUUUCUACAAUUAAUCCUAAUUCUUCAUUUUUGAAUUUGAGUGGCCAACAAAUAAAAUUAUUUGAAAACUACUCUAUCCUGAGAGUUAUUAGUAGAUGUGUGAUUGCUAACCACCAGAAAAAAAUAACAAAAAAGAAAUUUAAUUGAGGAAAAUCAAAUAUCUAUACAGAUUUGUACCAAUCAUGUACACAAAUCAAACUCCCUCAGUGUUCUAAAGUGUAAAGGCCAGAGAAGACCUUGACUCACUAUUGUGUUUGAAAACGAGUGUUGCUAUUCAACGCGGGAAGAAGAUGAUUAUGGGCCUGCUCAUGGUGUCCUUUUCCUGGGUUAAAGUGUCUAUAUGAACUUUAUAAGAACUUGCAGCAUCCAAUCAACCGAAAAAUUACAAUCAUGGAUCCGACUUCCUCCAUUUUCAGAUUGGCGGCCCUUGUAUGGGCUGUAAUAUUUACAUGCGAUAACGUUGCUGUUAGAACUGGUACAAUUGUCACAGCAUCUGCUUUGUCACCCAUACAGUUAGAAAAGAAAGCUUUAAUCAAUACUGGCUGGUGGAACAGUAUAAUCGAGCUACACUUAUCACGGGAUGAUGCUUACUACUUCAAUUGGCGGCUCAGCCAAUUAAACUUCUCUUGCUUUCCGAACCUCGUAAAUCUGACAAUCCAGUUCUGUCGUCUUACUGGAAGCAUACCACCAGAAAUUAGUGCUCUUUCAAAACUCCAACUGCUGGACUUGUCCUUCAACAGUCUUACAGGUAACAUACGAAAUUAACUUCAUUAACGCAUAUUAUUUGAGCAAUCAUAUUUAAAUGGAUUAAGUUUUGAGAGAAUACUGACAAAAACAAAGGUAAACCAGCCCUAUUUUAUCAUAUUAAUUGAAAAAAUGAUAAUAAUAAUUAACACGGUAAAUACAUCUGUUUGCCGUUGUUUUUACUUAUGUUCUAUCAGCGUUUAAAUUUCUUUAACAUUUUUUUUCAUUAAUUUCGUAAACUAAUGACAUAAAUGUACAAAAUAGGUAUAAUCCCUCCAGAGAUUGGGAAUUUGAGGAAUGUUGUCCAUUUGGAUAUAUCUGAUAACUUCCUUACCGGACCUCUUCCUUCAACUCUUGGUCGUUUAACCAAAUUGAAUUAUAUGAGCCUCUCUCGCAACAUGCUCGGUGGUAUACUACCUCAGGAAAUUGGGAACCUGAAGAAUUUGAUCGAGUUGAAUGUGGGCAGCAACAGCCUAAUUGGGCCUAUUCCUUCAGCUCUAGGGAGUUUGACCAAUCUGAACAAUUUGGAUCUUAGUUGUAACCAAUUCAACAGCUCAAUUCCAAUUGAGCUCACCCGUUUAACUCAACUUUUUCAUCUUGAUCUUUCCUCAAAUAAACUUUCUGGAAAAAUUCCUUCACAGAUAGCAAGUAUGGAGGAUCUAACCUCGCUGGACCUAUCAAAUAACAACAUAAAAGGUUCAAUUCCCGGUGAGAUCACCAAGUUAUCUCGACUUGAUUAUCUAAACCUUUCCUUAAAUAAACUUUCUGGAAAAAUCCUUCACAGAUAGCAAGUAUGGAGGAUCUAACCUCGUUGGACCUAUCAAAUAACAACAUAGAAGGUUCAAUUCCCGGUGAGCUCACCAAGUUAUCUCAACUUUGUUUCGUCAAUCUUUCCUCUAACAAACUUUCUGGGCCAAUACCAUUUUCAAAUGAACAACUCUCAAGCAUGCAUUCCGUAAGCCUCUCUCCUAACAAGGGUUUAUGCGGCGGCAAUUUUCUUGAUCUUCCUUCAUGCCCUACAACCAAAUCUGCCACUCACUUUGUUGAAAUUUUUCUUGCCCUCGCCAUAGUCCCCUCAGUUAUAGUCUUUGCAUGCUUACUAGUCGUCAAACGUAAGUACAAGAAACCCCAACUCAAGGAAAGAGCAACCAAUAGCAUAGAUGUAUUUUCAGUAUGGAAUUAUGAUGGUAGGAUUGUCUACGAGGAUCUGAUUAGAGCCACGGAAGAUUUUGACAUUAGAUAUUGCAUUGGUACCGGAGGCUAUGGCAGCGUCUACAAGGCACAGCUUCCCAACGGCAAAGUAUUUGCAUUGAAAAAGCUUCAUCCUUCAGAAACAGAGGAACUAGCGUUCAUCAAGAGUUUCCGAAACGAGGCUCAAGUACUUUCUCAAGUACUGCACCGUAAUAUUGUCAAAUUAUACGGUUUUUGCUUGCACAGAAAAUGCAUGUUUCUGAUUUACGAGUACAUGGAGAGAGGAAGCUUGUUCUGCAUUUUACACGAUGAUGAUGAAGCCGUAGAGUUGGAUUGGGCUAAGAGGGUGAACAUUGUAAAAGCCAUGGCACAUGCUUUGGCUUACUUGCAUCAUGACUGCUCACCAUCAAUUGUUCACCGCGACAUAUCGAGCAACAGCAUUCUACUUAACUCAAAAUUGGAGGCAUUUGUUGCUGACUUUGGCACUGCCAGGCUUCUUUUUCUGUGUGAAUUGCAAGUGCAAAUAAGGUCAGCAAGUUUUAAUAUCGGUAAAUUAUAUUAAUUUGACACUUAAAAAUUAAGGAAAAAAAAAGAAUAUUCUGGAUUAAACCAACUUGGAGAGGUUGCACUUAUGUAAUAUCUAUCCUUAAAAAAUUAAAAAAAAAAGAUAAAUUAUAUAGCCCGAAAAGACCUUGACUCCAAAAGUAGUCUCUACUUCAAUCUGUGGAAAAUUUUGAUACAAUUAAGUUCUAAAUUUUUCCACAAGAUAAUUGUUGUUGGUGGUGUCUGGCUCGUUUUAGACGUUUAGAAAUUGUUAGAAAUUGUUAAGAAAAAAAAAAGAAUAUUCUGGAUUAAACCAACUUGGAGAGUUUGCACUUAUGUAAUAUCUAUCCUUAAAAAAUUAAAAAAAAAAGAUAAAUUAUAUAGCCCGAAAAGACCUUGACUCCAAAAGUAGUCUCUACUUCAAUCUGUGGAAAAUUUUGAUACAAUUAAGUUCUAAAUUUUUCCACAAGAUAAUUGUUGUUGGUGGUGUCUGGCUCGUUUUAGACGUUUAGAAAUUGUUAGAAAUUGUUAAGAAAAAAAAAAGAAUAUUCUGGAUUAAACCAACUUGGAGAGUUUGCACUUAUGUAAUAUCUAUCCUUAAAAAAUUAAAAAAAAAAGAUAAAUUAUAUAGCCCGAAAAGACCUUGACUCCAAAAGUAGUCUCUACUUCAAUCUGUGGUGUACACAAAAUAUAAAUUAUUAACCAAAUUUUUUAUUUUUUGAUUAUUUUUAUCGCCAGAAUGACACAAAAUAUAAAUUUAUAGGGUAGAAAAUAACAAAACAAAUAAAAAAUUAUAGUACUAAUUAUUUUACAAUGGUAAUUCUGUCAAUUUGAUAGAUAAUUGAUACAAAUAGUAAACUUAAGGUGAAAAAUAAAAAAUUGAAUAAAUUUAAAUUUUCAAAGUAUUUUUUUCUGUGUGAAUUGCAAGUGCAAAUAAGGUCAGCAAGUUUUGCUAUUGUGCUUAGGAAAUCUUCUUCCAUCCACAUUAUUUUUAUGAAAUUAAUAUCUGUGCAAUAAUUAUUGUAACUCAUGAGUUCUCAGAACUGUAAAUCAGAGUGGGAAUAUUUCCAUAUUGUGGCAUGACAUGGGCUUUUCUUCUCAAUCAAAUUUUAAAAAAUUUUGGAUUCUCUAUUUCACUAUUUAAUUGAGUAGACUGCAGAUAUAAAUGUAGACAAAUUAUUAGCCUUACUUCACAGAAGUUUCAAUGCUUGUCGUUUUGCAUUCCGCAAAACGACAAUGUUGAACCAUCAAUUUAAGUGGAACGGCAAUGUUGAAGUUGAUAUGAUAAAAGUGAAAAUGACUAGAUAUUCCGCAAAGUCUAACAUUCAAGAAAUUGAACCACCAAUCAAGUGAUCAAAUUCUCUCAUGUAAUUAAUUAUCAUCAAUUGGCUUGAAGGUCAUCAAGAAGGUACUGGAUUGACAAAUUAAUUGCUCUACUAUUGCAGUAAUAGGUUCUUGAAAGACUUUAGAGACUCAGAUUUUUUUUUUUAUUUUAUAAUUUUAUUUAUUAUUAGGAUAUUUAUAAUUUUUUAAUUUUUGGGCUUUUUUUUUUAAUUGCUAUUUGAUGAGAGUGCAUGUGUUUGAGUUGGAGUGAGUGAGAAUUAUUAGAGCAUCUUCAAAAGGAUCUUUAAAUUUACUCUUUAAAUUUUACUCUUCAAAUUUUAAUUUGCUUACUGAUAUGGCAAAUAAGUGUAUAGAAAAAUAUAAUUCCCUCCAAAAGACUCACCAAAUAAGAAUAAAUUAAUAUUAUUUUAAUCAAAUCUUUCCCACUAUCAAAUUAAAUUGUUAUUAUAUUUUUUAAAAGAAACAUAAAUAAUAAUUAUUGCAGUCUUAUCUUUUCAAUAAAUAAUAAUAAAAUAUUAAUAGAAGAGGGAGAAACUCACUCGGCAAUAUUGAAGAGUGAGAAACAAAUCUUAUUUGAAGAAUCUAAAUUAACGUGUUUUUUGGAGUGUUUAAUAUUGAUAUGACUCUUCAAAUAAGAAGUAGAAUCUUAUUUGAAGAGUCUUUUGGAGAUGCUCUUAGUUUCAAUAAUUAGAUUAUUUUUCCCCAACCUUUGGUUAGGGUUGUAUUUUCUUUUUUCUUUUUCUUUUUUUUUACGGUCUUGAUAUUAUAUUAUAUUUUAAUUAUAAAAAUUGGUAUUGUUAUUUAUCAUCUUGCAUCUCUCUUCUUCGCUUCCAAAUUCUGCUAGUGCUAUUUGCUUGGCGACUAAACUGAAAAACUCCCAGAGACCGUUUCUAUUAUAAGUAUUGUUAAUUUUAAGUAUAUUUAGUACAAAAACUAGCUGCAGGAAAUUGACUUUAAAUAAGAAAAAAAAUCUAUUUAGGUGAUUAAAAUCUAAAGUUAAUUGAAAAUCUAUUGCAAAUUAAUAAUUCAAAAUCCGUGUCAUUAUUUUAAGGCAAAAACUUAUCAAGAAAAAUUGAACUGGGGAUAGUUUUAUGUAGUUUCGUAUUUUCAAUUUCGAAUGGGCUGGUUUAAUAAUUAGACCAUCUAAUUAAAACAUCAUACUUAUCUUGAAAUUCAAUUUUAGUCCUCACAUAGUUUCGGUGCUUUUCGAAAAUCUUAAUGGCAUUCGAAGUCUUCAUCUUGCUUUGGAUUCAACCAUAUCUGUUUUUCUUUUCUUUUUUUCAGGUUUCAUUUACACCAAAUUUUCUCCAUUAUCCAUUCGCAAAUGAAUAGUGAAUCACAUAGGAAUAUGAAAAACCUGUGAGGUUGAUACAAAGUAAUUAACAAAUCUUGGUUUGCAGACAAUUGAUUGUAAUCAGUUCCCAAACUCUCUUCAUUAUCUUCUGAAAGCAACUUGCAUCAGUUGAGGUUAACUGAUGAAGAAGAUACUAAAAAAUACAAACAAGAGCAAUAAAUUAAAAACAAAUGCAACAAACAAGAGGCAUUAAAAUUUAGAGUGCUAGCUAGGUCUCUCUGUGUGAGGCUAAUGGUCAAUUUUGGAAAAAUUGUUCGAAUAGUCAAAAUUGAUUGUUUGAAACUAACUACAAACGUGUGUUUCGGUAAAUUAUUUUAUUUGAUUUCAGCCCGAGUUAUAUUAAUUUGGCACUUUAAAAAUUAAGAAAAAAAAAAGCAUAUUCUGGAUUAAACAAACUUGGAAAGAAGCUACACUUGUAAACAAAUUAUAUAGGCCCGAAAGACCUUGACUCCAAAAGAAAUCUGCUUUUCAAUCUUCAGAAAAUUUUGAUACAAGUUCUAAAUUUUCCACAAGAUAUCUCAAAGUGAAAUUUUCAAACAAUUGCUGUCGGUGCCGUCUAGCUCGAAUUAGACGUUUAGGAUUUUUUAGAACUUCUAUAAGGACAAUGACUUCUUGAGUCAUGAAUAAAAGACCAUUUAUGGAUUAACAAAAGUCUGUGUGUGGCUCCAAAACCAAUUUUUACUGAUUAUUUGAUUUUUUUAUUGCCAGAAUGACACUAAUUACAAAUUUAUAGAGUAGAAAAUAAUAAAAAAAGAGUUAAAAAAAAUCAUAGUACUAGUUAUUUUACAAGGGUAGUUCUGUCAAUUUGAUUGAUGAUUGAUACAAUAAACUUGAGGGUGAAAAAUUAAACAAAUUUAAAAUUUUGAAAUAUUUUUUAUAAUAAAGCAAGCUUAAGGUGGAUAACCGAUAUUUUUCCUGUCAUUAUUAGUCUAAAUCCUCCAUUUUUUUUUUUAAUUUGGAAGCUACUCUACCAGGCCCAGGGUUAUUAGUAAAUUUGUGAUUGCUAAUCACGAAUAAAAAGAGAAAAACAACAAAAAAAGCAAUGUUAUUGAGAAUAAUCAAAAUAUAUAUGUAGAUUUAAACCAAUCAUAUUCACAAACCAAAUUCCCUCAAAAGCCUUAAAGGCCAGAGAAGACUUUGACCCACUAUUGUGAUUGAAAAACGUGUGUGGCGAUUAAUGUACGGGAGGAGGAUUUAACGCGGGAAGAAAAAUAGAAGACGACUAUGAGUCUGCUCAUGGUGUCCUUUUCCAGGGUUAAAAUGUUUAUAUAAACUUUGUAAGAGCUUGCUGAAUCCAAUAGCUCAAUCAACCGAAAAGUUAAUUAUAAGCAUGGAUCCGGCAUCCUCCAUUUUCAGAUUGGCGGCCCUUGUAUGGGUUGUAAUAUUUACAUGCGAUAACGUUGCUGUUAGAACUGGUACAAUUGUCACAGCAUCUGCUUUGUCACCCAUACAGUUAGAAACGAAAGCUUUACUCAAUACUGGCUGGUGGAACAACAGCUGGACGACGGCCGACUACUCUUCGCGUCAUUGCGAGUGGAUUGGCAUCACUUGCAAUUCAGCUGGAAGCGUAAUCGAGCUAUGCUUAUCAGAGUAUAUUGUUUCCUACUUAUUAGGGUAUGAUGUUGACUUCAAUGGGCAACUUAGCCAAUUAAACUUCUCUUGCUUUCCGAACCUCGAAAAUCUGACAAUCCAGUCCUUUCCUUUUACUGGAAGCAUACCACCAGAAAUUAGUGCUCUUUCAAAACUCCAACGGCUGGACUUGUCCUCGAACGGACUUACAGGUAACAUACGAAAUUAACUUCAUUACCGCAUAUUAUUUGAGCAAUCAUAUUUAAAUGGAUUAAGUUUGAGAGAAUACUGACAAAAGCAAAGGUAAACCUGGUCUAUUUUAUCAUAUUAAUUGAAAAAAAUAAUAAUAAUUAACACGGUAGAUACGCCUGUUUACCAUUAAUUGUUUUUACUUAUGUUCUGUCAGCGUUUAAUUUCUUUAACAUUUUUUUUUCAUAAUUUUCGUAAACUAAUAACAUAAAUGUAUAUAAUAGGUACAAUCCCUUCAGAGAUUGGAAAUUUGAGGAAUCUUAUCAAUCUUGAUCUAUCUGCUAACAACCUUACCGGACCUGUUCCUUCAACUCUUGGUCGUUUAACCAGCCUGAAAAAUUUGAUCCUUGCUUACAACCAACUCAGUGGGCUGCUACCUCAGGAAAUUGGGAAUCUGAGAAAUUUAAUCAAGUUGGACGUGGGCAACAACGGCAUAAUUGGGCCUAUUCCUUCAACUCUAGGUCUUUUGACCGAUUUGAGCUAUUUGAAUCUUAGUUGUAACCAAUUCAACGGCUCAAUUCCAAAUGAGCUCACCUGGCUAACUGGACUUCUUGGUCUUAAUCUUUCCUCAAAUAAACUUUCUGGAAAAAUUCCUCCAGAGGUAGCAAGUAUGAAGAAUCUAACCUGGUUAGACAUAUCAAAUAACAAGAUAGAAGGUUCAAUUCCCGGUGAGCUCACCGAUUUAUCUCGACUUGAUUAUCUAAAUCUUUCCUGGAACAAACUUUCUGGCCCAGUACCGUUUUCAAAUGAACAACUCUCAAGCAUGUCUAGAGUAAGACUCUCUCCUAACAAGGGUUUAUGCGGCAAUUUUAUUACUCUUCCUUCAUGCGAUGCAACCAAACCUGCCACUCUGUUUGUUGAAAUUUUUCUUCCCCUCGCCAUAGUCCCCUCAGUUAUAGUCUUUGCAUGCUUACUAGUCGUCAAACGUAAGUACAAGAAACCCAAAGUCAAGGCAAGAGCAACCAAUAGCAUAGAUGUAUUUUCAAUAUGGAAUUAUGAUGGUAGGAUUUUCUACGAGGAUCUGAUUGAAGCCACGGAAGAUUUUCACAUUAAAUAUUGCAUUGGUACCGGAGGCUAUGGCAGCGUCUACAAGGCACAGCUUCCCAACGGCAAGGUAUUUGCAUUGAAAAAGCUUCAUACUUCAGAAACCGAGGAAUUAGCGUUCAUCAAAAGUUUCCGAAACGAGGCUCAAGUACUUUCUCAAGUACUUCACCGUAGUAUUGUCAAAUUAUACGGUUUUUGCUUGCACAAAAAAUGCAUGUUUCUGAUUUACGAGUACAUGGAGAGAGGAAGCUUGUUCUGCAUUUUACACAAUGAUGAUGAAGCCGUAGAGUUGGAUUGGGCUAAGAGGGUGAACAUUGUAAAAGCCAUGGCACAUGCUUUGGCUUACUUGCAUCAUGACUGCUCACCAUCAAUUAUUCACCGCGACAUAUCAAGCAACAACAUUUUACUUAACUCAAAAUUGGAGGCAUUUGUUGCUGACUUUGGCACUGCCAGGCUUCGACAUGCUGAUUCGUCCAAUCGAACUCUAUUAGCAGGAACAUAUGGAUAUAUAGCUCCAGGUUUACCCUUAUGAUAUCUAUUCUUCUCAUGAUCGAUCCUUUAUUUCGUUCAAUUUUAUUUUCUUUUGCUUUAUAUUGCAGUCAUAUCCCAUAACAUCUCUCUUAAAUAGAUAGCCAGCUGGCUAGAGAAACUCACAAAUGGAAUUAUGUCUUUUAUUAGUGGGAAGCUACAUUCUAUGAUUACAGCUCCAGGUUUACCCUUAUGAUAUCUAUUAUUCUCACGAUCGAUCCUUUAUUUGGUUCAAUUUUAUUUUAUUUUGCUUUAUAUUCGCUUGAAGUAUUAAUGGGAAAGCAUUAAAUAGAUAGCCAGCUGGCUAGAGAAACUCACAAAUGGAGUUAUCUCUUUUAUUAGUGGGAAGCUACAUUCUAUGAUUACAUUUUUUUGUUUUGGGCAGAACUUGCCUACACCAUGGUUAUGACGGAGAAAUGUGAUGUUUAUAGCUUUGGAGUGGUGACACUUGAAGUAUUAAUGGGAAAAAGGUUAUUCAAGAUAUUUUCGUCAUUAUCAUCAUCAUCUGAUCCAAAAAUCAUGUUGAUUGAUGUUUUAGACCAACGUCUUCCACCUCCAGUUGAUCAAAAGGUUAUUCAAGAUAUCCUUCUUGCUUCAACAAUUUCAUUUGCAUGCUUGCAAUCGAACCCAAAGUCUCGACCUACAAUGCAAUAUGUGUCUCAAGGAUUUCUCAUCACUCGCAAGACUCCAUUGGUAAAGCAUGCUGCUAUUCAAGAUAUUUCCAUCUCAGAACUUAGAAACUAAUAGAGGAUGAUCAAUAUAAUUGCUAAUCUUAAAUGUAUUUCGUUGGUAGUAUUUUGUAAAACUUUGGUGAGGGUGAAUAUUGGUUUCAUGAAACCGUUGUCUUUCUUGAAAAAAAAUGAAAGUAACUCUUCUAUAGUGAAAUUGGUGCUUCCAAUCUAAACUAUUAAAUCUUUAAUUAUUUUUCUGUGUGAAUUGCAAGUUUUGCUAUUGUGCUAAGUCAUAUUUGGUAUUAAUGUAUUGUAACUUUUAACAAAUAACUAUGUUAGAACAAAAAUGUAAUUAUAAAAUAAAAGUUGAGAGUGUAUAAACCAACUUGGAGAGGUUGCACUUAUGUAAUAUCUAUCCUUAAAAAAUUAAAAAAAAAAAAAUUAUAUAGCCCGAAAAGACCUUGACUCCAAAAGUAGUCUCUACUUCAAUCUGUGGUGUACACAAAAUAUAAAUUAUUAACCAAAUUUUUUAUUUUUUGAUUAUUUUUCUCGCCAGAAUGACACAAAAUAUAAAUUUAUAGGGUAGAAAAUAACAAAACAAAAAAAAAAUUAUAGUACUAAUUAUUUUACAAUGGUAAUUCUGUCAAUUCGAGAGAUAAUUCAUACAAAUAGUAAACUUAAGGUGAAAAAUAAAAAAAUUGAAUAAAUUUAAAUUUUCAAAGUAUUUUUUUCUGUGUGAAUUGCAAGUGCAAAUAAGGUCAGCAAGUUUUGCUAUUGUGCUUAGGAAAUCUUCUUCCAUCCACAUUAUUUUUAUAAAUUAAUAUCGUGUGCAAUAAUUAUUGUAACUCAUGAGUUCUCAGAACUGUAAAUCAGAGUGGGAAUAUUUCCAUAUUGUGGCAUGACAUGGCUCAUAUCAGUGACUGUUUCCGCCGGCUUUGUUUGCUCCUCUCUCUUCUUCUCAGUCAUUGCUCUACUAUUGCAGUAAUAGGUUCUUGAAAGACUUGAGAGGCUCAUAUUUUUUUUUAAUUUUAUAAUUUUAUUUUAUUAUUAGGAUAUUUAUAAUUUUUUUUUAAUUUUUGGGCUUUUUUUUUAAUUGCUAUUUGAUGAGAGUGCAUGUGUUUGAGUUGGAGUGAGUGAGAAUGUAUUAGUUUUAAUAAUUCGAUUAUUUUUCCCCAAUCUUUGGUUAGGGUUGUAUUUUCUUUUUUCUUUUUCUUUUUUUUUACGGUCUUGAUAUUAUAUUAUAUUUUAAUUAUAAAAAUUGGUAUUGUUAUUUAUCAUCUUGCAUCUCUCUUCUUCGCUUCCAAAUUCUGCUAGUCCUAUUUGCUUGGCGACUAAACUGAAAAACUCCCAGAGACCGUUUCUAUUAUAAGUAUUGUUAAUUUUAAGUAUAUUUCGUACAAAAACUAGCUGAAGGAAAUUGACUUUAAAUCAGGAAAAAAAAAUCUAUUUAGGUGGUUAAAAUCUAAUAAAGUUAAUUGAAAAUCUAUUGCAAAUUAAUAAUUCAAAAUCCGUGUCGUUAUUUUAAGGCAAAAACUUAUCAAGAAAAAUUGAACUGGGGAUAGUUUUAUGUAGUUUCGUAUUUUCAAUUUCGAAUGGGCUGGUUUAAUAAUUAGACCAUCUAAUUAAAACAUCAUACUUAUCUUGAAAUUCAAUUUUAGUCCUCACAUAGUUUCGGUGCUUUUCGAAAAUCUUAAUGGCAUUCGAAGUCUUCAUCUUGCUUUGGAUUCAACCAUAUCUGUUUUUCUUUUCUUUUUUUCAGGUUUCAUUUACACCAAAUUUUCUCCAUUAUCGAUUCGCAAAUGAAUAUUGAAUCACCUAGGAAUAUGAAAAACCUGUGAGGUUGAUACAAAGUAAUUAACAAAUCUUGGUUUGCAGACAAUUGAUUGUAAUCAGUUCCCAAACUCUCUUCAUUAUCUUCUGAAAGCAACUUGCAUCAGUUGAGGUUAACUGAUGAAGAAGAUACUAAAAAAUACAAACAAGAGCAAUAAAUUAAAAACAAAUGCAACAAACAAGAGGCAUUCAAAUUUAGAGUGCUAGCUAGGUCUCUCUGUGUGAGGCUAAUGGUCAAUUUGGAAAAAUUGUUCGAAUAGUCAAAAUUGAUUGUUUGAAAUUAACUACAAACGUGUGUUUCGGUAAAUUAUUUUAUUUGGCUUCAGCCCGACAUAUAUUAAUUUGGCACUUAAAAAUUAAGAAAAAAACAAGAAUCUUUUGGAUUAAACGAACUUGGAAAGAAGCUACACUUGUAGACAAAUUAUAUAGCCCGGAAAGUCCUUGACUCCAAAAGAAAUCUACUUCAAUCUUUGGAAAAUUUUGAUACAAGUUCUAAAUUUUCCACGAGAUAUCCCAAAAUGUAAUUUUCAAACAAUUGUUGUUGGUGUUGUCUAGCUCGUUUUAGACGUUUAGAAAUUAUUAGAACUUGUAUAAGGACAUCGACUUCUUGAGUCAUGAAUAAAAGACCAUUUAUGGAUUAAUAAAAGUCUGUGUGUGGCUCCAAAACCAAUUUUUACUGAUUAUUUGAUUAUUUUUAUGCCAGAAUGACACUAAUUACAAAUUUAUAGAGUAGAAAAUAAUAAAAAAAGAGUUAAAAAAAUUGACACAAAUUACAAAUUUAUAGGGUAGAAAAUAACAAAACAAGAGAAAAAAAAAAUUAUAGUACUAGUUAUUUUACAAGGUUAAUUCUGUCAAUUUGAGGAUAAUCAAAAUAUAAGUGUAGAUUUAAACCAAUCAUACUCACAAAUCAAACUCCCACAAAAGUCUAAAGGCCCGAGAAGACUUUGACUCAGUAUUGUGAUUGAAAAACGUGUGGGCAAUUAAUGUACAGGAGGAGGAUUUAACGCGGGAAGAAAAAUAGAAGACGACUAUGAGUCUGCUCAUGGUGUCCUUUUCCAGGGUUAAAAUGUUUAUAUAAACUUCGUAAGAGCUUGCUGAAUCCAAUAGCUCAAUCAACCGAAAAGUUAAUUAUAAGCAUGGAUCCGGCAUCCUCCAUUUUCAGAUUGGCGGCCCUUGUAUGGGUUGCAAUAUUUACAUGCGAUAACGUUGCUGUUAGAACUGGUACAAUUGUCACAGCAUCUGCUUUGUCACCCAUACAGUUAGAAACGAAAGCUUUACUUAAUACUGGCUGGUGGAACAACAGCUGGACGAUGGACUACGAUUCGGAUCAUUGCGAGUGGAUUGGCAUCACUUGCAAUUCAGCUGGAAGCAUAAUCGGGCUACACUUAUCAAAGGAUAAUGUUAACUUCAAUGGGCGGCUUAGCCACUUAAACUUCUCUUGCUUUCCGAACCUCGAAAGUCUCAGAAUCCUGGCCUAUUAUGAUGGUUUUACUGGAAGCAUACCAUCAGAAAUUAGUGCUCUUUCAAAACUCCAACUGCUGGACUUGUCCUCGAACAGGCUUAGAGGUAACCUGCAAAUUUAACUUCAUUACCGCAUGUUAUUUGAGCAAAGAUAUUUAAAUGGAUAAGUUUGAGAGAAUACUGACAAAAACAAAGGUAAACCAGGCCUAUUUUAUCAUAUUAAUUGAAAAAAAAUUAAUUAACACGGUAACAACACAUUUCUACUAUUGUUCUUAUUAAUAUCAACGUUUAAUUUCUUUAGUAUUUUUUUUUUUUUUUUUUUUUUAUAAAUGUAUAUAAUAGGUACAAUCCCUUCAGAGAUUGGAAAUUUGAGGAAUCUCACCAAUCUUGAUUUAUUUGAUAACGUCCUUACUGGAACUGUUCCUUCAACUCUUGGUCGUUCAACCAAAUUGAAUUUUAUGAGCCUCUCUCGCAACAUGCUCGGUGGUAUACUACCUUAGGAAAUUGGGAACCUGAAGAAUUUGAUCGAGCUGGACGUGGGCAGUAACAGCCUAAUUGGACCGAUUCCUUCAACUCUAGGUCUUUUGACCGAUUUGAGCUAUUUGGACCUUAGUCGUAACCAAUUCAACAGCUCAAUUCCAAAUGAGCUCACCUGGCUAACUGGACUUCUUGGUCUUAAUCUUUCCUCAAAUAAACUUUCUGGAAAAAUUCCUUCACAGAUAGCAAGUAUGGAGGAUUUAACCUGGUUGGACCUAUCAAACAACAACAUAAAAGGUUCAAUUCCCGGUGAGAUCACCAAGUUAUCUCGACUUGAUUAUCUAAAUCUUUCCGGUAACAAACUUUCUGGCCGAGUACCGUAUUCAAAUAAACAUCUCUCAAGCAUGCCUACGGUAAGACUUUAUGCUAACAAGGGUUUAUGCGGCAAUAUUCUUGAUCUUCCUUCAUGCCAUACAACCAAACCUGCCACUCUCUUUGUUGAAAUUUUUCUUCCCCUCGCCAUAGUCUUCUCAGUCAUAGUCUUUGCAUGCUUACUACUCAUUAAACGUGAGUACGAGAAACCCAAACUCAAGACAAGAGUAACCAAUAGCAUAGAUGUAUUUUCAAUAUGGAAUUAUGAUGGUAGAAUUGUCUUCGAGCAUUUGAUUGAAGCCACGGAAGAUUGACAGUAAAUAUUGCAUUGGUACCGGAGCCUAUGGCAGCGUCUAUAAGGCACAGCUUCCCAACGGCAGAGUAUUUGCACUGAAAAAGCUUAACAGUCCAGAAACAGAGGAAUUAGCUUUCAUCAGGAGUUUCCGAAAUGAGGCUCAAGUACUUUCUCAAGUGCUGCACCGUAAUAUUGUCAAACUAUACGGUUUUUGCUUUAACAGAAAAUGCAUGUUUCUCAUUUAUGAGUAGAUGGAGAGAGGAAGCUUGUUCCGCAUUUUACACAAUGACGCUGAAGCUGUGGAGUUGGAUUGGGCUAAGAGGGUGAACAUUGUUAAGGCUAUGGCACAUGCUUUGGCAUACUUGCAUCAUGACUGCUCACCAUCAGUUGUUCACCGCGACAUAUCCAGCAACAACAUUCUACUUAACUCAAAAUUGGAAGCAUUUGUCGCUGACUUCGGCACCGCUAGGCUUCUACAUGCUGAUUCGUCCAAUCAAACUCUUUUAGCAGGAUCAUAUGGAUAUAUUGCUCCAGGUUUACCCAUAUGAUCUAUUCUUCUCACGAUCGAUCCUUAUUUACUUGGUGCAAUUUUAUUUUAUUUUACUUUAUAUUGCAUUCAUAUUCCAUAACGUCUCUUUUAAAUAGCUAGCUUCCUGGCUGGCUACAGGAACUCACAAAUACAAUUCUCUCUUUUUUUAAUGGAAGCUACAUUCUAUGAUUACUUUGCCUCAUAUAAAUCCUCCACUUUCUUUUGUUUCCCGUUCAGAACUUGCCUACACCAUGGUUAUGACAGAGAAAUAUGAUGUUUAUAGCUUUGGAGUAGUGACACUUGAAGUAUUAAUGGGAAAGCAUCCAAGGGACCUUCAUUCGACAUUAUCAUCAUCAUAUGAUCCAAAAAUCAUGCUGAUUGAUGUUUUAGACCAACGUCUUCCACCUCCAGUUGAUCGAAAGGUUAUUCAAGAUAUCCUUCUUGUUUCAACAAUUUCAUUUGCGUGCUUGCAAUCGAACCCAAAGUCCUGACCUACAAUGCAGUCCGUAUCUCAAGAAUUUCUCAUCACUCGCAAGACUCCAUGAAGCAUGCUGCUAUUCAAGAUAUUUCCAUCUCAGAACUUAGAAACUAAUAGAGGAUGUAUUUGAUUGAUCAAUAUGAUUGCUAAUCUUAAAUGUAUUUCAUUGAUAGUAUUUUGUAUUACUUUGGUGAGGGUGAAUUUUGGUUUCAUGAAACCGUUACCUUUGUUGAAUAAAAAUGAAAGUAAAGCUUCUAAGGUGAAGUUGGUGCUUCCAAUCUAAACGAUUACAUCUUUAAUUAUUUUUUCUGUGCGAAUUGCAUGUGCAAAUAAGGUCAGCAAGUUUUGCUAUUGUGUUAGGAAAUCUUUUUCCACUCACAUUAUUUUUAUAAAUUAAUAUCGUGUGCAAUAUCUGCCUCUCGUUUUCAUCUUUCAACCGGACAAAUAAAUAAUCAUAACAAAUAGCAAUAAUUAUUGUAACUCAUGAGUUCACCGAACAGUAAAUCAAAGUGGGAAUAUUUCCACAUUGUGGCAUGACAUGGGCUUUUCUUCUCAAUCAAAUUUCAAAAAAAUUUGGAUUCUCUAUUUCACUAUUUAAUUGAGUAGACUGCAGAUAUAAAUGUAGACAAAUUGUUAGCCUUACUUCACAGAAGUUUCAUUGCUUGUCGUUUUGCAUUGGCACAUAAGAGUGAUCAAUUGAAUUGGAACGGCAAUGUUGAAGUUGAUAUGAUAAAAGUGAAAAUGACUAGAUAUUCCGCGAAGUCUAAAAUUCAAGAAAUUGAAGCACCAAUCAAGUGAUCAAAUUCUCUCAUGUAAUUAAUUAUCAUCAAUUGGCUUGAAGGUGAUUAAGAAGGCAGUGGAUUGACAAAUUAAAUUACAUUGUUCUUUCAUAAAUGGUAAAUAAAUAUAAUCAAAGACCUAGGUCAUAUUUGGUAUUAAGGUAUUGUAACUUUUAAGUUAUAACUACUUUGGAACAAAAAUGUAAUUAUAAAAUAAAAGUUGAGAAUGUAUAAUCAAUAUAACUUUUAACUAAUAUUUUUGCCAAAAAUAAUAAAGAUAUUAUAGGCUUCUCAUCUUACAAGUGUGGGAUCAAAUCAACUUAACUUUUAUACCACAAUUGGCAGUUCUUAGUCUAAAUAAUUUUUUGCUACAAUUUAGAAAACUAUAACUACCCAACAUCGAUACCAAACAAGACCUUAGGUGGCGUUUGUUUUUUUGUCUGAAAUCUGAAUAGAUCUGAAUUAGUCUGAAUUCUGAAUAGAUCUGAAUGUCUGAAUCUGAAUAAUAUGUUUGUUUUUUCUUCUGAAUCUCAGAAAAUAAGUAUUAAGUUGUUUGUUUUUUUCAACUUAAAAAGCUAAAAAUAUGUACUUUUACAUUUGUAUCCUUAUUAAAUUUGAAUGUCAAAUAAAUAAUAUAUUAAAUACCACAAUAUUUUAACAUUUAUAAGUAAAACUAUAUUCACGUGAAUACAUAAUUAUUUUGAAAUUUUAAUAUAUAAAAUACCAUAAAUUUUAAAUUUUAUCGUAUAUAAUAUAAGAAAGAAAAAAUAAGGAUAUUUUUAUGUGGGGUAAAUGUCUAUGGGUGAGUUUGGGAUAGACAUGAAAAAUAAAUUAUAAAGCAAGGAUAUUUUUGACAUUAGCAAGUAAUUGACUUAAUUCAGAUUUCUCCAUUAAGUAAAAAGUCAAAAAAAUUGGCUUAUUUUAGGAUAUUUUUGAAUUUUAUUAAGUCAAAAUUAUCUAAAAAGUCUCAUUAAGUUAUAAAAACAAACACCUCUAAUUAACUUAAUUAAUUAAAUUAAGUCACUUUAAGUCAUUAAGUUAAAAAACAAACGCCACCUUAGUCUGUAAGCAUCUAUCAUUCUUUCCUGUUUUUAAAAUGCUAGUAGUAUUAAGUCUUGAACUUGUAAUCAAUCUAACGGUACAUAGUUUUUUCCAAGUUCCAGCAGCACCAAAUUUUCCUCUGCUUCCUCUGUUUCUUCAGUUAAACGCCACUAAAGAUAUCAAAAUUAUUGCUUGUUUGUUUCAGGAUUUUAGCUAUCUGUAUGAUACAUCCGCUGAGACCUAGGGAUGGCAAAAUUCUCCACGGGUUUGGGGCCCCAUGGAGCCCCACCCCAAAUGGGGAAAAUUUUUAAUAAUUUUUGGGAAAUGGGGUGGGAAGUGGGGGAAAAAUAAUCCCCAAAUUGUUAAUGGGGUGGGGUUUGGUAUUGCACUCCCCACCCCAAUCCCCAUUAUAUAAAAAUAUUUUUAAUUUUUAUUUACUAAUUUUUUAGUAAUUAAAAUACUAAUUAGUCCCCACCCCAAUCCCCAUUAUAUGAAAAUAUUUUUAAUUUUUAUUUACUAAUUUUUUAGUAAUUAAAAUAUUAAUUAGUAAUUUUUUUAUUUUACUUAAUAUAGAUUAAUAAAUAUAUCAGAAUAUUUUUCAAUUCUAAAACAUUAUAAUGUUUUCUUUUCUCUUUUAAGGUGUUGCUCUCUUUAAAUAUUUUUCACUUUUAAUAUCAUUUUAAGAUAUUGUUUCAAACUUUUAGACAUUUUUAAAAAAAAAUUAAAUACUUCAUAAUAUGGUGAUGAUUUUAUUUUAAGUUUUUAAUUUUUAAUUUACUGAAAUCAUAUAUUUAUAUUUACUAUAAAAUAGGUAAAUGGGGAAUGGGGUGGGGAUGGGGAAAUCAUUCCCCAUGUGGGGAUUCCCCAUCCCCAACCCACUAAAUUUAUUGGGGAAUGGGGUGGGGAAUGGAGGCAAAAAAUUUUAAUGGAGUAGGAAAUGAGGUAAGCCUCCCCACCCCACCCUACCCCAUUGCCAUCCCUACUGAGACUCUGGGUGCAUUUUUUCCUGCUCAAAUACCGAAUAGUCACUAAGCAAUAUGAAUUCUUGAAAAAUUCCUCUUUAAACAACGAAACGACAGCACAACGGCUUUUGAAGGAUCAAAACUCAUUGCUCUGCACCACGUGUCGUCCUAUGUUCUUCUUUGCGGUUAGAUUAGAUUCUUUUAACCAUUCGACGGUCAAAAGCUAACAGACUAAAAGAAAAGCGAACCGUUGUGGGAUCCGCUUCAAUGAUGAAACCCGACAUGUCGCUAUCAAAUUUCUUUUUAAAUAUGUGGUGGUUGUGGAAAUAACAUUAAGUCGCUAUUCAUAGAAGCCAUAUCCUUAGAAUUUGUUAAAAAUUCACAAGUAAAAUCAAUCAUUUAACCGUUAAAUAUUUGAAAAUCAGCUAGAUUCAUUUAACCGUUAAAUAUUUGAAAAUCUAAAAAUUCACAAGUAAAAUCAAUCAUUUAACCGUUAAAUAUUUGAAAAUCAGCUAGAUUAACUUAUUUAUCUCCAUGUUUUGAGAAACAUAUUAUUGAACUUUCAACAAAACUUGACAAUAUAUACGAUAUAAUUUGUAACAUGACUUACUGAUUCAACAUGAAAAUGAUAUAAAUUAAGUUAAUAAAUUUAAAUUAAUCAAAGAUUACACAAGUAGUAAUCAUAUAAAAUAUGUGUCAUUUAUUUACCAACCUGUUUGGGUUUAGAUUUUUUUUUAAUAUUAUAUAUGACAUCAUAAUUAUGAUAUUAACCAUAUAGGUCCUCAAUAAUAUUUAAAUAAAAAUAUUAAACGGGUGAAAAUUAAAACAAAAUCUAAUUUAAAGAUAUGUUAAUAAUACUUUUAUCAAUCGUGUGCUAAAUUAGUGUUUUAAGCUUUUUAGUUUCAUCGAACUCGUGCCGCCCAAAAUUUUCAUGAUGAAGAAUACGAUAAAUAAUCCAACCUAAACUACUACAAGUUUAUAACAGGGUCUCUGCAAAAAUAUUAUCUAUCACUUAUGCCCUUUCAUUUAAAUUUCUGUAAACAUUAGGGACCUUCUUGCUAUUAUCUCAAGCCUGCAAAUACCAAGAGUCAUUCGCAGUCUACUCAUAUUACAAAAACCAAAACAAGAUAUAAUUCGGGGGGGAAAAAAAUUCGUAUCACAAGAUAAAAAUUUCUCACACUCUUAAGUUCUAAUACAGAGAUGGCGCAAGUUAAUAUUUGCAGAGCUGUGGCUUUGAUUCUCUUCAUUGCAGCGCUUUUCUCAAUGACAGCUGUCGGCAGUGCACAGGAUGUCGACCUAGCGCCGUCGCCGAGCAUGGACGCCGGAGCUGCGUUCCCGGUGACUGUUUCCGCUGGCUUUGUUUGCCUCUCACUCUUCUCUCAGUCAUUGCUCUACUAUUGCAGUAAUAGGUUCUUGAGAGACUCAGAUUUUUAUUUUAUUUUUAUUAUUAGGAUAUUUAUUAUUUUUGAAAAUUUUGGGUAUUUUUUUUUUUAAUUGCUAUUUGGUGGGAGUGCAUGUGUUUGAGUUGCUGAGAGUGAGAAUGUAUUAGUUUUAAUAAUGCAAUUAUUUUUUCCCCUAAUCUUUGGUUAGGGUUGUUUUUUCUUUUUAUUUUUUUAAUGGUCUUGAUAUUAUGUUCUAUUUUAAUUAUAAAAAUUAGUAUUAUUAUUUAUCAUCUUGCAUCUCUCUUUAAUAUUCAUCGGGCUUUAAACUUAAAAACUCCCAGAGAUCAUUUCUAUUACAAGUAUUGUUAAUUUUAAGUAUAUUUAGUACAAAAUCUAGCUGAAGGAAAUUGACUUUUAAAUAAGAAAAAAAAAUCUAUUUAGGUGGUUAAAAUCUAAAGCUACCUGAAAAUCUAUUGCAAAUUAAUAAUUCAAAAUCCGUGUCAUUAUUUUAAGCCAAAAAUUUCUCAAGAAAAAUUGAACUGGGGAUAGUUUUAUGUAGUUUCGUACUUUCAAUUUCAAAUGGGCCGGUUUAAUAAUUAGACCAUUUACUUAAAAUCAUCAUACUUAUCUCUUUUGUGCGUAGAUCUGCGAACGCCGCUGCCCACAGUGUAGCUAGGGUGGGGGGUUCUAUGUCAGGUCCUGGAGAGUGGAGAGAUGUUCCACCUCUAUGGUUAUGUCCCAUGUUGGCUAUUCCUCUUGUUUAAUGACAUUUCCUUCAUCAAAAAAAAAAAAAAAAAUCAUCAUACUUAUCUCGAAAUUCAUUUUUUUUCCUCGCAUACUUUAUAUUAAUCAACAUAUAUAAAAAUUUUAAUAGAAACACGAUGCUUUUCCAAAAUCCUCUUGGCAUACGAAGUCUUCAUCUCGAUUUGAAAUUCAACCAUAUCUGUUUUUCUUUUUCUUUUUUUUUCUUUUUUUCACGUUUCAUUUACCAUUAUCCAUUCGCAAAUGCAUAUUGAAUCACCUUAGGAAUUUGCAAAACCUGUGAGGUUGAUACAAAUUAAUUAACAAAUCUUGGUUUGCAGACAAUUGAUUUUAAUCAGUUCCCAACUCUUUUCAUUAUCUUCUGAAAGCAACUUGCAUCUGUUGAGGUUAACUGAUGAAGAAGAUACUCAAAAAUACAAACAAGAAAUUAAAAACAAAGGCAACAAGCAAGAGACAUGCAAAUUUAGAGUGCCCCUCUCUGUGUGGGGCUAAUGGUCAAUUUUGGAAUUAUCGUUCGAAUAGUCAAAAUUGAUUGUUUGAAAUUAACUACAAACGUGUUGUUCGGUAAAUUAUUUUAUUUGACUUCAGCCCGAGAUAUAUUAAUUUGGCACUUAAAAAUUAAGAAAAAAAAAGAAUAUUCUGGAUUAAACGAACUUGGAAAUUAAGAAGCUACACUUGUAAACCAAUUAUAUAGCCCGGAAAGACCUUGACUCCAAUAGAAAUCUACUUCAAUCUUUGGAAAAUUUUGAUACAAGUUCUAAAUUUUCCACAAGAUAUCCCAAAAUGUAAUUUUCAAACAAUUGUUGUUGGUGUGGUCGAGCUCGUUUUAGACGUUUAGGCAUUGUUAGAACUUGUAUAAGGACAAUGACUUCUUGAGUCAUGAAUAAAAGACCAUUUAUGGAUUAAUAAAAAUCUGUAUGGGGCUCCAAAACCAAAUUUUACUGAUUAUUUGAUUAUUUUUAAUGCCACAAUGACACAAAUUACCAAUUUAUAGAGUAGAAAAUAACUUGUAAUGAAUAGAAGAUCGAUUAUUUAUACAUGGAAUUAUGGAUUAAUAAAAGUCUUUGCUCCUCCAAAACCAAUUUUUAUUGAUUAUUUUAUUAUUUGAUUAUAUAUUUUGGACCAAAAAUAAAAUAAACCUAAUAAGACCCAAAUAAAUUUAAUCUCAAUAAGACCCAUUUAAUAAAUUUUCUCUCAAUUAAGCCCACAAAGUGGUGGACAAAUCACUUAAAAUAUUCCUCCUAAGUAACAAGAUUUCAAAGCCUAAAAGAAGCCAAGGUCCUAGAUUCCUAUUAUAAGACAAACCACCUAGGAUAAAUCAACUAGGUGGCAAGGAUUUAAAGUACAAAACGUGCUGAGGUUCUAGGCUCUUAUCCUAGGACAAACCUCCUAAGUUUGAGGGCUUUUAUGAUCCCAAGAUCUUAGUAAAAAUAACCUAAGGAUAAAACGUUUCUUCCUUUAAUCCGUAAACAAAUCUGUAUAUCCAUGUGUCAAUCAACAUACUAGGGGGCAAGUGUUGUAAAAUGUCAUAAGAAUAAUGACAUUUGUCAUCAAAAUAACUAGGACCCAAGUCAAAUCAGUUUGGUCGAUAAAUACGUCUUUCAUUCUCACUAAAAGAUAAGAAAAAAAAAAGAGACUAAAAAGGAGAAAAGACUAACUUUCUCCCUCUAAUAUUUCUCUUUCUAAAUUUAUGUUUCCAAAAGUCCGGUUACUGACUUGAUCGUCGGAGGGCCCUCUGAUCUUUUUCUUGUAUUUACAGAGUAUCACUAGACGAAAACAUUCUGAUUGCCUAAGAAAGUGAAUUGAGAUGAGCAUAUAUAAAGGCCCAUUAAGAUCAGCUCAAAGGAUAAACUCAUCAUCAUCAAAUCUAAAAAAAAGGAACCCAAGUCCUAAGGGGGCUAUCCUCAGUCGAAAUUUCCACAUCAUAAGUUGGGACAAAAUUUGCACCAACAAUAUAUAUUGCCAAAAUGACACCAAUUGAAAGCUUAGGUAGAAAAUGUCAAUAAUAAUAAUAGUAUUUAAUUUUUUUUUUGGUGGAUGAUUGAUACCAAUUAUAAACUUAGAAUAAAAAAAUUGAAUGAAUUUAAAAUUUUAUAUUACUUUUGAUAACAAGAUAAAUAUAAAUAGAUGACUAAUAAUUUUUCUACAAUUAAUCCUAAUUCUUCAUUUUUGAAUUUGAGUGGCCAACAAAUAAAAUUAUUUGAAAACUACUCUAUCCUGAGAGUUAUUGUGAGAGUUAUUGGUAGAUGUGUGAUUGCUAACCACCAGAAAAAAAUAAUAAAAAAAAAUUUAAUUGAGGAAAAUCAAAUAUCUAUAAAGAUUUGUACCAAUCAUGUACACAAAUCAAACUCCCUCAGUGUUCUAAAGUGUAAAGGCCAGAGAAGACCUUGACUCACUAUUGUGUUUGAAAACGAGUGUUGCUAUUCAACGCGGGAAGAAGAUGAUUAUGGGCCUGUUCAUGGUGUCCUUUUCCUGCGUUAAAGUGUCUAUAUGAACUUUAUAAGAAUUUGCAGAAUCCAAUCAACUGAAAAAUUACAAUCAUGGAACCGACUUCCUCCAUUUUCAGAUUGGCGGCCCUUGUAUGGGCUGUAAUAUUUACAUGCGAUAACGUUGCUGUUAGAACUGGUACAAUUGUCACAGCAUCUGCUUUGUCACCCAUACAGUUAGAAAAGAAAGCUUUAAUCAAUACUGGCUGGUGGAACUGCACCUGGACGACGGCCGACUACUCUUCGGACCAUUGCACGUGGGAACUGGGAAGGCAUCACUUGCAAUUCAGCAGGAAGCAUAAUCGAGCUACACUUGUCCUCGAACGGACUUACAGGUAACAUACGAAAUUAACUUCAUUACCGCAUAUUAUUUGAGCAAUCAUAUUUAAAUGGAUUAAGUUUGAGAGAAUACUGACAAAAACAAAGGUAAACCAGACCUAUUUUAUCAUAUUAAUUGAAAAAAUGAUAAUAAUAAUUAACACGGUAAAUACAUCUGUUUGCCGUUGUUUAAAUUUCUUUAACAUUUUUUUCAUUAUUUUUGCAAACUAAUAACAUAAAUGUAUAUAAUAGGUACAAUCCCUUCAGAGAUUGGAAAUUUGAGGAAUCUCACCAAUCUUGAUUUAUUUGAUAACGUCCUUACUGGAACUGUUCCUUCAACUCUUGGUCGUUCAACCAAAUUGAAUUUUAUGAGCCUCUCUCGCAACAUGCUCGGUGGUAUACUACCUUAGGAAAUUGGGAACCUGAAGAAUUUGAUCGAGCUGGACGUGGGCAGUAACAGCCUAAUUGGACCGAUUCCUUCAACUCUAGGUCUUUUGACCGAUUUGAGCUAUUUGGACCUUAGUCGUAACCAAUUCAACAGCUCAAUUCCAAAUGAGCUCACCUGGCUAACUGGACUUCUUGGUCUUAAUCUUUCCUCAAAUAAACUUUCUGGAAAAAUUCCUUCACAGAUAGCAAGUAUGAAGAAUCUAACCUGGUUGGACAUAUCAAAUAACAAGAUAGAAGGUUCAAUUCCCGGUGAGAUCACCGAGUUAUCUCGACUUGAUUAUCUAAAUCUUUCCUCUAACAAACUUUCUGGCCCAGUACCGUUUUCAAAUGAACAACUCUCAAGCAUGUAUAUAGUAAGACUCUCUCCUAACAAGGGUUUAUGCGGCAAUUUUAGUGCUCUUCCUUCAUGCGAUGCAACCAAACCUGCCACUCUUUUUGUUGAAAUUUUUCUUCCCCUCGCCAUAGUCCCCUCAGUUAUAGUCUUUGCAUGCUUACUAGUCGUCAAACGUAAGUACAAGAAACCCAAACUCAAGGCAAACGCAACCAAUAGCAUAGGUGUAUUUUCAAUAUGGAAUUAUGAUGGUAGAAUUGUCUACGAGGAUCUGAUUGAAGCCACGGAAGGUUUUGACAUUAAAUACUGCAUUGGUACUGGAGGGUAUGGCAGCGUCUACAAGGCACAGCUUCCCAACGGCAAGGUAUUUGCAUUGAAAAAGCUUCACACUUCAGAAACAGAGGAAUUGGCGUUCAUCAAGAGUUUCCGAAACGAGGCUCAAGUACUUUCUCAAGUACUGCACCGUAAUAUUGUUAAAUUAUACGGUUUUUGCUUGCACAGAAAAUGCAUGUUUCUCAUUUACGAGUACAUGGAGAGAGGAAGCUUGUUCUGCAAUUUACACAAUAAUGAGGACGCCGUGGAGUUGGAUUGGGCUAAGAGGGUGAACAUUGUAAAAGCCAUGGCACAUGCUUUGGCGUACUUGCAUCAUGACUGCUCACCAUCAAUUAUUCACCGCGACAUAUCGAGCAACAACAUUCUACUUAAUUCAAAAUUUGAGGCAUUUGUUGCUGACUUUGGCACUGCCAGGCUUCUACACGCUGAUUCGUCCAAUCGAACUCUAUUAGCAGGAACAUAUGGAUAUAUAGCUCCAGGUUUACCCUUAUGAUAUCUAUUCUUCUCACGAUCGAUCCUUUAUUUGGUUCAAUUUUAUUUUAUUUUGCUUUAUACUGCAGUCAUAUCCCAUAACAUCUCUCUUAAAUAGAUAGCCAGCUGGCUAGAGAAACUCACAAAUGAAAUUAUCUCUUUUAUUAGCGGGAAGCUACAUUCUAUGAUUACAUUUUUUUGUUUUGGGCAGAACUUGCCUACACCAUGGUUAUGACGGAGAAAUGUGAUGUUUAUAGCUUUGGAGUGGUGACACUUGAAGUAUUAAUGGGAAAGCAUCCAAGGGACCUUCUUUCGUCAUUAUCAUCAUCAUCUGAUCCAAAAAUCAUGUUGAUUGAUGUUUUAGACCAACGUCUUCCACCUCCAGUUGAUCGAAAGGUUAUUCGAGAUAUCCUUCUUGCUUCAACAAUUUCAUUUGCAUGCUUGCAAUCGAACCCAAAGUCUCGACCUACCAUCUGAUCCAAAAAUCAUGUUGAUUGAUGUUUUAGACCAACGUCUUCCACCUCCAGUUGAUCAAAAGGUUAUUCAAGAUAUCCUUCUUGCUUCAACAGUUUCAUUUCCAUGCUUGCAAUCAAACCCUAAGUCUCGACCUACAAUGCAAUAUGCGUCUCAAGAAUUUCUCAUCACUCGCAAGACUCCAUUGGUAAAGCAUGCUGCUAUUCAAGAUAUUUCCAUCUCAGAACUUAG